rnacentral:lncRNA from 1 species
UUUUGACAAGUUCAAGGAGUUGACUACGAUGAGACCUUCUCAUUCGUAGUGAUGCUUAUGUCUGUCCGAAUCAUGUUAGCAAUUACCGCAUUUUAUGAUUAUGAAAUUUGGCAAAUGGAUGUCAAAACUACAUUCCUUAAUGGAUUUCUUAAAGAAGAGUUGUAUAUGAUGCAACUAGAAGGUUUUGUCGAUCCUAAAGGUGCUAAAAAGUGUGCAAGCUCCAGUGAUCCAUUUAUGGACUGGUGCAAGCCUCUCGGAGAUGGAAUAUACGCUUUGAUAGUGUGAUCAAAGCAUAUGGUUUUAUACAGAUUUUUAGAGAAGCCUGUAUUUACAAUAAAGUGAGUUGGAGCUCUGUAGCAUUUCUAAUAUUAUAUGUGGAUGACAUAUUGUUGAUUGGAAAUGAUACAAAAUUUAUGAAUAGCAUAAAGGAUACUUGAAUAAGAAUUUUUCGAUGAAAGACCUCGGUGAAGCUGCUUACAUAUUGGGCAUCAAGAUCUAUAGAGAUAGAUCAAGACGCUUAAUUGGACUUUAUCAAAGCACAUACCUUGAUAAGAUUUUGAAGAAGUUCAAAAUGGAUCAGUCAAAGAAAGGGUUCUUGCCUGUGUUACAAGGUGUGAAGUUGAGUGAGACUCAAUGUCCGACCACUGCAGUGAAGGAAAUAUGCCCUAGAGGCAAUAAUAAAGUUAUUAUUUAUUUCCUUAUAUCAUGAUAAAUGUUUAUUAUUCAUGCUAGAAUUGUAUUAACCGGAAACAUAAUACUUGUGUGAAUACAUAGACAAACAGAGUGUCACUACUAUGCCUCUACUGGACUAGUCGUUGAUCAAAGAUGGUUAUGUUUCCUAGCCAUUGACAUGAGUUGUCAUUUGAUUAACGGGAUCACAUCAUUAGGAGAAUGAUGUGAUUGACUUGACCCAUUCCACUAGCUUAGCACUCGAUCGUUUAGUAUGUUGCUAUUGCUUUCUUCAUGACUCAUACAUGUUCCUAUGACUAUGAGAUUAUGCAACUCCCGUUUACCGGAGGAACACUUUGUGUGCUACCAAACGUCACAACGUAACUGGGUGAUUAUAAAGGUGCUCUACAGGUGUCUCCGAAGGUACUUGUUGGGUUGGCGUAUUUCGAGAUUAGGAUUUGUCACUCCGAUUGUCAGAGAGGUAUCUCUGGGCCCACUCGGUAAUGCACAUCACUUAAGCCUUGCAAGCAUUGCAACUAAUGAGUUAGUUGCGGGAUGAUGUAUUACGGAACGAGUAAAGAGACUUGCCAGUAACGAGAUUGAACUAGGUAUUGAGAUACCGACGAUCGAAUCUCGGGCAAGUAACAUACCGAUGACAAAGGGAACAACGUAUGUUGUUAUGCGGUCUGACCGAUAAAGAUCUUCGUAGAAUAUGUGGGAGCCAAUAUGAGCAUCCAGGUUCCGCUAUUGGUUAUUGACCGGAGACAUGUCUCGGUCAUGUCUACAUAGUUCUCGAACCCGUAGGGUCUGCACGCUUAAAGUUUCGAUGACGGUUAUAUUAUGAGUUUAUGAGUUUUGAUGUACCAAAGGUUGUUCGGAGUCCCGGAUGUGAUCACGGGCAUGAUGAGGAGUCUCAAAAUGGUCGAGACAUGAAGAUUGAUAUAUAGGAAGCCUAUAUUUGGAUAUCGGAAGUGUUCCGGGUGAAAUCGGGAUUUUACCGGAGUACCGAGGGGUUACCGGAACCCCCCGAGGGCUUAAUGGGCCAUAGUGGGCCUUAGUGGGGAAUAGGAGAGGCGGCUAGGGCAGGGCCGCGCGCCCCUCCCCCUCUAGUCCGAAUAGGACAAGGAGAGGGGGAGGCGCCCCCCCCCCACCCCUUUCCUUCCUCUCUCCCUCCUCUUUCCCCCCUUCUCCUAAUCCAACAAGGAAGGGAGGGAGUCCUACUCCCGGUGGGAGUAGGACUCCUCCUGGCGCACCUCCUCCUGGCCGGCCGCACCUCCCCCCCCCCUUGCUCCUUUAUAUACGGGGGCAGGGGCACCCCAAAGACACAACAAUUGAUUAGUUGAUCUUUUAGCCGUGUGCGGUGCCCCCCUCCACCAUAGUCCACCUCAAUAAUACUGUAGUGGUGCUUAGGCGAAGCCCUGCGUCGGUAGAACAUCAUCAUCGUCACCACACCGUCGUGCUGACGAAACUCUCCCUCAACACUCGGCUGGAUCGGAGUUCGAGGGACGUCAUCGGGCUGAACGUGUGCUAAACUCGGAGGUCCCGUACGUUCGGUACUUGAUCGGUCGGAUCGUGAAGACGUACGACUACAUCAACCGCGUUGUGCUAACGCUUCCGCUUUUGGUCUACGAGGGUACGUAGACAACACUCUCCCCUCUCGUUGCUAUGCAUCACCAUGAUCUUGUGUGUGCGUAGGAAAUUUUUUGAAAUUACUACGUUCCCCAACAGUGGCAUCCGAGCCUGGUUUUAUGCGUAGAUGUCAUAUGCACGAGUAGAACACAAGUGAGUUGUGGGUGAUAUAAGUCAUACUGCUUACCAGCAUGUCAUACUUUGGUUCGGCGGUAUUGUUGGAUGAAGCGGCCCGGACCGACAUUACGCGUACGCUUACCGAGACUGGUUCUACCGACGUGCUUUGCACACAGGUGGCUGGCGGGUGUCAGUUUCUCCAACUUUAGUUGAACCGAGUGUGGCUACGCCCGGUCCUUGCGAAGGUUAAAACAGCACCAACUCGACAAACUAUCGUUGUGGUUUUGUUGCAUAGGUAAGAACGGUUCUUGCUCAGCCCGUAGCAGCCACGUAAUGCAACAACAAAGUAGAGGACGUCUAACUUGUUUUUGCAGGGCAUGUUGUCAUGUGAUAUGGUCAAAGCAUGAUGCUAAAUUUUAUUGUAUGAGAUGAUCAUGUUUUGUAACCGAGUUAUCGGCAACUGGCAGGAGCCAUAUGGUUGUCGCUUUAUUGUAUGCAAUGCAAUCGCCCUGUAAUGCUUUACUUUAUCACUAAGUGGUAGCGAUAGUCGUAGAAGCAUAAGAUUGGCGAGACGACAACGAUUCUACGAUGAAGAUCAAGGUGUCGCGCCGGUGACGAUGGUGAUCAUGACGGUGCUUCGGAGAUGGAGAUCACAAGCACAAGAUGAUGAUGGCCAUAUCAUAUCACUUAUAUUAAUUGCAUGUGAUGUUUAUCUUUUAUGCAUCUUAUCUUGCUUUGAUUGAUGGUAGCAUUAUAAGAUGAUCUCUCACUAAAUUUCAAGAUAAAAAGUGUUAUCCCUGAGUAUGCACCGUUGCCAAAGUUCGUCGUGCCCAGACACCACGUGAUGAUCGGGUGUGAUAAGCUCUACAUCCAUCUACAACGGGUGCAAGCCAGUUUUGCACACGCAGAAUACUCAGGUUAAACUUGAGGAGCCUAGCAUAUGCAGAUAUGGCCUCGGAACACUGAGACCGAAAGGUCGAAAUGAAUCAUAUAGUAGAUAUGAUCAACAUAGUGAUGUUCACCAUUGAAAGCUACUCCAUUUCACAUGAUGAUCGGUUAUGGUUUAGUUGAUAUCGAUCACGUGAUCACUUAGAGGAUUAGAGAGAUGUCUAUCUAAGUGGGAGUUCUUAAGUAAUAUGAUUAAUUGAACUUAAAUUUAUCAUGAACUUACUACCUGAUAGUAUCUUGCUUGUCUAUGUUGAUUUUAGAUAGAUGGCCCGUGCUGUCGUUCCGUUGAAUUUUAAUGCGUUCCUUGAGAAAGCUAAGUUGAAAGAUGAUGGUAGCAAUUACACGGACUGGGUCUGUAACUUGAGGAUUAUCCUCAUUGCUGCACAGAAGAAUUAUGUCCUGGAAGCACCGCUAGGUGCCAAACCUGCUGCAGGAGCAACACCAGAUGUUAUGAACGUCUGGCAAAGCAAAGCUGAUGACUACUCAAUAGUUCAGUGUGCCAUGCUUUACGGCUUAGAACCAGGACUUCAACGACGUUUUGAACGUCAUGGAGCAUAUGAGAAGUUCCAGGAGCUGAAGUUAAUAUUUCAAGCAGAUGCCCGGAUUGAGAGAUAUGAAGUCUCCAAUAAGUUUUACAGCUGCAAGAUGGAGGAGAAUAGUUCUGUUAGUGAAUAUACACUCAAAAUGUCUGGGUAUAACAAUCACUUGAUUCAACUAGGAGUUAAUCUUCCGGAUGAUAGCGUCAUCGACAGAAUUCUUCAAUCACUUCCACCAAGCUACAAGAGCUUCGUGAUGAACUAUAACAUGCAAGGGAUGGAUAAGACGAUUCCCGAGCUCUUCGCAAUGCUAAAGGCUGCGGAGGUAGAAAUCAAGAAGGAGCAUCAAGUGUUAAUGGUCAACAAGACCACCAGUUUCAAGAAGAAGGGCAAAGGGAGAAGAAGGGGAACUUCAAAAAGAACAGCAACCAAGUUGCUGCUCAAGAGAAGAAACCCAAGUCUGGACCUAAGCCUGAGACUGAGUGCUUCUACUGCAAGCAGACUGGUCACUGGAAGCGGAACUUCCCCAAGUAUUUGGCAGAUAAGAAGGAUGGCAAGGUGAACAAAGGUAUAUGUGAUAUACAUGUUAUUGAUGUGUACCUUACUAAUGUUCGCAGUAGCACCUGCGUAUUUGAUACUGGUUCUGUUGCUAAUAUUUGCAACUCGAAACAGGGGCUACGGAUUAAGCGAAGAUUGGCUAAGGACGAGGUGACGAUGCGCGUGGGAAAUGGUUCCAAAGUCGAUGUGAUCGCGGUCGGCAUGCUACCUCUACAUCUACCUUCGGGAUUAGUAUUAGACCUAAAUAAUUGUUAUUUGGUGCCAGCGUUGAGCAUGAACAUUAUAUCUGGAUCUUGUUUGAUGCGAGAUGGUUAUUCAUUUAAAUCAGAGAAUAAUGGUUGCUCUAUUUAUAUGAGUAAUAUCUUUUAUGGUCAUGCACCCUUGAAGAGUGGUAUAUUUUUUAUGAAUCUCGAUAGUAGUGAUACACAUAUUCAUAAUGUUCAAGCCAAAAGAUGCAGAGUUGAUAAUGAUAGUGCAACUUAUUUGUGGCACUGCCGUUUAGGUCAUAUCGGUGUAAAGCGCAUGAAGAAACUCCAUACUGAUGGACUUUUGGAACCACUUGAUUAUGAAUCACUUGGUACUUGCGAACCGUGCCUCAUGGGCAAGGUGACUAAAAUGCCGUUCUCCGGAACUAUGGAGCGAGCAACAGAUUUGUUGAAAAUCAUACAUACAGAUGUAUGUGGUCCAAUGAAUGUUGAGGCUCACGGCGGGUAUCGUUAUUUUCUCACCUUCACAGAUGAUUUAACAAGAUAUGGGUAUAUCUACUUAAUGAAACACAAGUCUGAAACAUUUGAAAAAUUCAAAGAAUUUCAUACUGAAGUUGAAAAUCAUCGUAACAAGAAAAUAAAGUUUCUACGAUCUAAUCGUGGAGGAGAAUAUUUGAGUUACGAGUUUGGUCUACAUUUGAAACAAUGCGGAAUAGUUUCGCAACUCACGCCACCCGGAACACCACAGCGUAAUGGUGUGUCCGAACAUCGUAAUCGUACUUUACUAGAUAUGGUGCGAUCUAUGAUGUCUCUUACUGAUUUACCGCUAUCGUUUUGGGGUUAUGCUUUAGAGACGGCUGCAUUCACGUUAAAUAGGGCACCAUCAAAAUCCGUUGAGACGACGCCUUAUGAAUUGUGGUUUGGCAAGAAACCAAAGUUGUCGUUUCUUAAAGUUUGGGGCUACGAUGCUUAUGUGAAAAAGCUUCAACCUGAUAAGCUCGGACCCAAAUCGGAGAAAUGUGUCUUCAUAGGAUACCCAAAGGAGACAGUUGGGUACACCUUCUAUCACAGAUCCGAAGGCAAGACAUUCGUUGCUAAGAAUGGAUCCUUUCUAGAGAAGGAGUUUCUCUCGAAAGAAGUGAGUGGGAGGAAAGUAGAACUUGAUGAGGUAACCGUACCUGCUCCCUUAUUGGAAAGUAGUUCAUCACAGAAACCGGUUCCUGUGACGUCUAUACCAAUUAGUGAGGAAGUUAAUGAUGAUGAUCAUGGAACUUCAGAUCAAGUUCUUACUGAACCUCGUAGGUCAACCAGAGUAAGAUCCGCAGCAGAGUGGUACGGUAAUCCUGUUCUGGAGGUUAUGUUACUAGACCAUGACGAACCUACGAACUAUGCAGAAGCAAUGGUGAGCCCAGAUUCCGCAAAAUGGCUUGAGGCCAUGAAAUCUGAGAUGGGAUCCAUGUAUGAGAACAAUGUGUGGACUUUGGUUGACUUGCCCGAUGAUCGGCAAGCCAUUGAGAAUAAAUGGAUCUUCAAGAAGAAGACUGACGAUGAAGGGAAUGUUACUGUAUAUUAAGCUUGACUUGUUGCGAAUGGUUUUCGACAAGUUCAAGGGAUUGACUACGAUGAGACCUUCUCACCCGUAGCGAUGCUUAAGUCUGUCCGAAUCAUGUUAGCAAUUGCCGCAUUUUAUGAUUAUGAAAUUUGGCAAAUGGAUGUAAAAACUGCAUUCCUGAAUGGAUUUCUGGAAGAAGAGUUGUAUAUGAUGCAGCUGGAAGGUUUUGUCGAUCCAAAGGGUGCUAACAAAGUGCGCAAGCUCCAGCGAUCCAUUUAUGGACUGGUGCGAGCCUCUCGGAGUUGGAAUAAACGCUUUGAUAGUGUGAUCAAAGCAUUUGGUUUUAUAUAGACUUUUGGAUGUGACACCCAAGUUUUUAUUUGGAUUUUUCAAAAGAUUUUUAUUUGACUUGAGGGAGGUGAUUUAAAUUUUUUUUAAAAGAACUCUCCCUUUCAAAUAUUUUUUUUAUGGCAAAAGUUUUAUUUGGAUUCACCCAAGAUCUGUCUUUGGUCUUGGAGGUUCUUGCUUUUCAUUUGGACUCAAGACAAAAUACUUUUCACUUGGGAAAAUGCCUUUUGAAAAGCUCUUUGAAAUUUGCACUAUGGCUUUUGGAAAAAUCCUUUACCACUUCCAACAUUUCCCUCUUGCCAUGGCCUUAGUGCACAUACUCUCUCCUAACCCUCCCCUCAUCUUUGGAUCAUGUUUGGCAUCUAAUCCAGCAAGUUGAACCUCCCCUAUGUUUAUUUUCCAUUUAAAUCUUAUUCAAAUAAAUUUCUGUCUUCUAUUCUAUCCAUUGGUGAUUUACAAAGGAACUCUACUUUCUGUUUUGAUUUUUGCCCCCAAACCAACUCUCCUCCCUAGUCCUUUGAACCCUCAACCAAGAUCCAGGAAGAUCCACUGGUCUUCAGUUCAAAAUUUUCAAACUACACUUGCUGCAAGUUUGGACCAGAUUUGUCAAAUUUGGUGAAAUUCAUUCAAAUCCUUUUCCAAAAAUUCCAAGUAAAAUCAGGCAGCCUCUGGGUGCAUUGAGUGGUCACCUCACCAAGUACCAGCUCCAGAAAAAAUUCUCAUUGCCAAAUCUUUCUGUCGAACACUUGCAGUGCAUUGUCAAAAUCAAGUUCAGAUAAUUCAGAGAACAGUCCAGUGGCUUACUGUCGUUUUCUUCAGAGAUGGUUGUCGAUCUCGCCAGUGCCAUUGUGUCGCCUUGCUCCUCGUCCCCUCCCCCUUGUUCCUGCACCGCACGAACGCCUGGCACCUUGCGGACGUCGGCGACGAGCAGCAGAAGGUGCGCCGCCCCGUGACCGACGCCAGCGGCGGCUUUGCGGCCGCCAGCGGGAGGCACGGCGCCACCCAGCGCCGCCCAAGCCACCGGAGCUCGCCGCGUGGCCUUCCACUCCCCCGAACGCGCUGCCACUCUCGUCGUGAACCGCAGGGCGCGGAGCGCGCUCUCUGCCGCCGUCGAGCCCGUGCGGCCAUCUCACCGUGGACCGACACCAUUACGCCAAGACCAACUCCGUUUAGCUGUGGAAUGACACCAGUAACCUCCACUGAUGCUGCCUGGCCACUCAAACCUCCUGCCAAUCCACUGCAUCGCCGUAAUCGCUCGCCGGAGAUUCUCCGUUCACGGCCACCCCGUCGAUCCGCCUAUAAAUAGAGGCCCCGAGCUUCAACUCGAGCACCCACCAUCCCUGCACUCCACCUAGAGCACGCCUAGCCACUGGAAGAGCCCCGAGGAGGUCUCCUUCCUCGACUCCGGCCGCCGCGACCCGCCACGGGAUCCAGCUCGAUUCGCCCUCGUGUGUGCACCUCCGCCUCCCUUCUCUUGCCAGUAGCCUCACUAUGCAUCCCUCCUUCUGACCCGUGCUUCAAUUCGAGGUUUGCAGCCCUCCACCGGAGUUCCCCACCAUCACCCGAGCCGCCGUCCGCCGGAGAUAGUGUCGCCGUCGACGUGGUGCUCCCCGUUGGUCGAGUCCACCACCCACCGACGCGGAAGAACACGCUGAAGCUCUUGGUACCCUCCGAUCCUCCUAACUCGCCGUGGUUCGACGCCGGCGUCCACCGCAGUCUUCGGGCGCCGGCGAGCUUUUCAAACCUGACAUGUGGACCCCGCUUGUCAGCCUCUAUUCUAUUCUUUCGCGAACCGUUUUCUGUUGGCGCCUUCGGGCAAAAUACGUUUUCUCUCUUGAGCUUGCGCAUUUCCAAUCGAACCGUUUUCUGUUUUCUCAGUUAAAACCCUGGAACUUUUCUGUUUCAUUACAGAUAAGUCCCUGGACAGAAACCUUUAUAACUUUUUAAUAAAAAGGGAUUUUUGAGUGAUUCUUUUUCUGAAAAUCUUCAAAUUUUGUCUAGUUUUUUAUGGGAUUUAUUGAAAAAUAUUUGGAGAAGUUUCUGUGCACCCUUUGGUUUUCACGUUAGUACCCGCUUUUCGUGAUUGCCGUAGGUUCCGGAAGAGGUGACGGAGCCGCGAACUUCGCCGAGCUAGACUCCGACUUCUCCGAACCAGGCAAGCAUGUUUGAACAUUUGAUGUGAUAAGUGUUUUUCAUGUUUGCUUGAAGGUUUGUGCGUGGCAUAUGAGUGUCGGUAAAUACCUCGUUGCUUGUAAGGCAACUACCCGCAUGUUCCAAAGUUGCGAUGAUCUCUGAUGAGAGAUGGCCUAAUCAUGUGGUGACAUGAAGGGCAGCAAGGUGGUACUGUUGUAGCAUACCAGCCUUGCGUCAUCCGACUUUCUCCGACGCUAACGUGGACGGAGUCACGUUAUCGUUCUUUUCCCCGCAUGUUCCAAAGUUGCGAUGAUCUCUGAUGAGAGAUGGCCAAAUCAUGUGGUGACAUGAAGGGCAGCAAGGUGGUACUGUUGUAGCAUACCAGCCUUGCGUCAUCCGACUUUCUCCGACGCUAACGUGGACGGAGUCACGUUAUCGUUCUUUCCCCCUUCUGUGCUACCACAUGUUUCAUUUGCCAGGAUGCGGUUUAGUAAGUUGGUAACCUCUUUCCGUGUACACACCAAACAGAGAGGCCGGGAUGAUGGUACCUUGGCCCAGGAUUAAAGCCAGUCAUCCGGUCAGGGGGCAUGGGUGUUUCCGGUUGGGACCGAGAGGGGGGGCACCCCCUUAGAGCGCGCGUAUAGAAAUUUGAUCCCAUGCUACGCGAGGUUGUAGCCUCCCCGUCUCAAGGUUUUUCUUGAACGUUGCCGAGGGUGAUCACUGGCUUCGGAAGGUUGAAUUGGGUGUGUACUGGUUAGACGUGUUUCUUCCAAAACACCGUAGACGGAACUAGUCCCCGUGACUACUGAAAUCCGUUGGCUGUGGUUAAGUACAAGCUCUGCAGAGUCAAUUCCUUCCAAGUCAUCGUAUCCAUGAUCAAGUAGUGUAAUCAGUAUAUCCAUAUCUAUCCGCAUGAAAAACUUGUCCCCGGUGAACAAGCCCAAGUGGUAAAUCCAGUUAAAUUAUUAUUCCUGUGGAUGGACUAACUUUAUAUUUGUCUCGUACUUGUGAUAAUUUAUGUUCCCGAACUAUUGUAUUAUUGAGCUACAAUAUAAGCCCUUUAUGUGACGUCGCGCAGACGUCCGACUGUGGCGUGUUUUUGUUCCUUACAUUAAAUAUAAGCCCUUUAGGUGAUGUCGCUCAGACGUCCGACUGUGGCAUGUUCGUCUUUUAUUUUCUGUUAUAAGCCCUUUAUGUGAUGUCGCUCAGACGUCCGACUGUGGCAUUAUUAUUAUUCUUGCAGUUUCCGCUCGAGGAGUCAUUUAGACACUCGCUUGGCACCAGUAUUACUAUUCUUGCAUUUUCCGCUCGAGGAGUCAUUCAGACACUCGCUUGGCACCAGUAUUACUAUUCUUGCAGUUUCCGCUCGAGGAGUCAUUCAGACACUCGUUUGGCACCAGUAUUACUAUUCUGCAGUUUCCGCUCGAGGCGUCAUUCAGACCCUCGCUUGGCACCCAGUAUUUAUUAUCUCUAUGUCUGAACGCACUGGAUAAAUUGUUCAUAUGCUUCAUGUUUACAUUUGUUAUAUCUUAUGUCCGAUCUGUCUUGCGAGUACUUUCAUAGUACUCACCUGGCUUGUUGAUUUGGCCAGAUGUUGACGAAGGCGAUCUCUUGGAUGAAGAGUUUGAUAGCGCGUCCGAUGCCUAGAGGAGUCCCAGUCAGUCCUGCGCGAUCCCGGAUAUUGGUCACUUGUAUUAUAUACGCUUCCGCCACCCGCAAUAAGUCUCCUCGAGCCUCACUCCGACGCUCGAAGAGCUGUAGUCUUCAGGAGUCAUAUCACUCGCUUCGUAGUGAUAUUUCCACCACCGUUAUCAUCGUGAGUUAGUAGUAUGCCACCCUAUCCGCCGUCUUGUUUUAUCGGCGUGCCUGUAAUAAAUUGUUGGGCAGUCUCCGCUCAAACCUUGUAUUAUAUUUAGUACUCCUGGUAUUUUUCUUCUGUGACCAAGAUAUUGUCUACCAGUGAGAAGGAAUUCUUCCUUACUGGUCCGUAAAAGGGAUUGGUCUCUCAAUAAUUAUUUUAUUGAAAAACCGGUCAUGACAUUGGAGAAGCCUGUAUUUACAAGAAAGUGAGUGGGAGCUCUGUAUCUGAUAUUAUAUGUGGAUGACAUAUUGUUGAUUGGAAAUGAUAUAGAAUUUCUGGAUAGCAUAAAGGGAUACUUGAAUAAGAGUUUUUCAAUGAAGGACUUCGGUGAAGCUGCUUAUAUAUUGGGCAUCAAGAUCUAUAGAGAUAGAUCAAGACGCUUAAUUGGACUUUCACAAAGCACAUACCUUGACAAAGUUUUGAAGAAGUUCAAAAUGGAUCAAGCAAAGAAAGGGUUCUUGCCUGUGUUACAAGGUGUGAAGUUGAGUAAGACUCAAUGCCCGACCACUGCAGAAGAUACAGAGAAGAUGAAAGAUGUUCCCUAUUCUUCAGCCAUAGGCUCUAUCAUGUAUGCAAUGUUGUGUACCAGACCUAAUGUGUGCCUUGCUAUAAGUUUGGCAGGGAGGUACCAAAGUAAUCCAGGAGUGGAUCACUGGACAGCGGUCAAGAACAUCUUGAAAUACCUGAAAAGGACUAAGGAUAUGUUUCUCGUUUAUGGAGGUGACAAAGAGCUAGUCGUAAAUGGUUACGUUGAUGUAAGCUUUGACACUGAUCCGGACAAUUCUAAAUCACAAACCGGAUACGUGUUUACAUUGAACGGUGGAGCUGUCAGUUGGUGCAGUUCUAAACAAAGCGUUGUGGCGGGAUCUACGUGUGAACCGGAGUACAUAGCUGCUUCGGAAGCAGCAAAUGAAGGAGUCUGGACGAAGGAGUUCAUAUCCAAUCUAGGUGUCAUACCUAGUGCAUCGGGUCCAAUGAAAAUCUUUUGUGACAAUACUGGUGCAAUUGCCUUGGCGAAGGAGUCCAGAUUUCACAAGAGAACCAAGCACAUCAAGAGACGCUUCAAUUCCAUCUGGGAUUUAGUCCAGGUGGGAGACAUAGAAAUAUUCAAGAUACAUAUGGAUCUGAAUGUUGCAGACCCGUUGACUAAGCCUCUUCCACGAGCAAAACAUGAUCAACACCAAGGCUCCAUGGGUGUUAGAAUCAUUACUGUGUAAUCUAGAUUAUUGACUCUAGUGCAAGUGGGAGACUGGAGGAAAUAUUGCCUAGAGGCAAUAAUAAAGUUAUUGUUUAUUUCCUUAUAUCAUGAUAAAUGUUUAUUAUUCAUGCUAGAAUUGUAUUAACCGGAAACAUAAUACUUGUGUGAAUACAUAGACAAACAGAGUGUCACUAGUAUGCCUCUACUGGACUAGCUCGUUGAUCAAAGAUGGUUAUGUUUCCUAGCCAUUGACAUGAGUUGUCAUUUGAUUAACGGGAUCACAUCAUUAGGAGAAUGAUGUGAUUGACUUGACCCAUUCCGUUAGCUUAGCACUCGAUCGUUUAGUAUGUUGCUAUUGCUUUCUUCAUGACUUAUACAUGUUCCUAUGACUAUGAGAUUAUGCAACUCCCGUUUACCGGAGGAACACUUUGUGUGCUACCAAACGUCACAACGUAACUGGGUGAUUAUAAAGGUGCUCUACAUGUGUCUCCGAAGGUACUUGUUGGCUUGGCGUAUUUUGAGAUUAGGAUUUGUCACUCCGAUUGUCGGAGAGGUAUCUCUGGGCCCACUCGAUAAUGCACAUCACUUAAGCCUUGCAAGCAUUGCAACUAAUGAGUUAGUUGCGGGAUGAUGUAUUACGGAACGAGUAAAGAGACUUGUCGGUAAGGAGAUUGAACUAGGUAUUGAGAUACCGACGAUCGAAUCUCGGGCAAGUAACAUACCAAUGACAAAGGGAACAACGUAUGUUGUUAUGCGGUCUGACCGAUAAAGAUCUUCGUAGAAUAUGUGGGAGCCAAUAUGAGCAUCCAGGUUCCGCUAUUGGUUAUUGACCGGAGACGUGUCUCGGUCAUGUCUACAUAGUUCUCGAACCCGUAGGGUCCGCACGCUUAAAGUUUCGAUGACGGUUAUAUUAUGAGUUUAUGAGUUUUAAUGUACCGAAGGUUGUUCGGAGUCCCGGAUGUGAUCACGGACAUGAUGAGGAGUCUCGAAAUGGUCAAGACAUGAAGAUUGAUAUAUUGGAAGCCUAUAUUUGGAUAUCGGAAGUGUUUCGGGUGAAAUCGGGAUUUUACCGGAGUACCGAGGGGUUACCGGAACCCCCGGGGGGGCUUAAUGGGACAUAGUGGGCCUUAGUGGAGAAGAGGAGAGGCGGCUAGGGCAGGGCCACGCGCCCCUCCCCCUCUAGUCCGAAUAGGACAAGGAGAGGGGGGCGGCGCCCCCCCCCCCCUUUCCUUCCUCUCUCCCUCCUCUUUCCCCCCUUCUCCUAAUCCAACAAGGAAGGGAGGGAGUCCUACUCCAGGUGGGAGUAGGACUCCUCCUGGCGCGCCUCCCCCUAGCCGGCCGCACCUCCCCCCUUGCUCAUUUAUAUACGAGGGCAGGGGGCACCCCAAGGACAUAACAAUUGAUCAGUUCAUCUUUUAGCCGUGUGCGGUGCCCCCCUCCACCAUAGUCCACCUCGAUAAUACUGUAGUGGUGCUUAGGCGAAGCCCUGCGUCGGUAGAACAUCCUCAUCGUCACCACGCCGUUGUGCUGACUAAACUCUCCCUCAACACUCGGCUGGAUCGGAGUUCGAGGGACGUCAUCGGGCUGAACGUGUGCUGAACUCGGAGGUGUCGUACGUUCGGUACUUGAUCGGUCGGAUCGUGAAGACGUACGACUACAUCAACCGCGUUGUGCUAACGCUUCCGCUUUCGGUCUACGAGGGUACGUAGACAACACUCUCCCCUCUUGUUGCUAUGCAUCACCAUGAUCUUGUGUGUGCGUAGGAAUUUUUUUGAAAUUACUACGUUCCCCAACAUGCAGAAGAUAGACAUAAAGUCAUUCCCUAUGCCUCAGCCAUAGGUUCUAUCAUGUAUGUUAUGCUGUGUACCAGACCUGAUGUGUUCCUUGCUAUAAGUAUAGUGGGGAGGUACCAAAGUAAUCCAGGAGUGGAUCACUGGACAGCGGUCAAGAACAUCCUGAAAUACCUAAAAAGGACUAAGGAUAUGUUUCUAGUUUAUGGAUGAGAUAAAGAUCUCGUCGUAAAUGCUUACGUCGGUGCAAGCUUUGACACUGAUCCGGAUGACUCUAAGUCACAAACCGGAUACGUAUUUAUAUUGAAUGGUGGAGCUGUCAGCUAGUGCAGUUCCAAACAGAGCGUCGUGGCAGGAUCUACGUGUGAAGCGGAGUACAUAGCUGCUUCGGAAGCAGCAAAUGAAGGAGUCUGGAUGAAGGAGUUCAUAUCCGAUCUAGGUGUCAUACCUAGUGCAUCGGGUCCAAUGAAAAUCUUUUGUGACAAUACUGGAGCAAUAGCCUUGGCGAAGGAAUUCAGAUUUCACAAGAGAACCAAGCACAUCAAGAGACGCUUCAAUUCCAUCCACGAUCUAGUCAAGGAAGGUGACAUAGAAGUUUGCAAAAUACAUACGGAUCUGAAUGUUGCAGACCCAUUGGCUAAGCCUCUUCCACGAGCAAAACAUGAUCAGCACCAAGACUCCAUGGGUGUUAGAAUCAUUACUAUGUAAUUUAGAUUAUUGACUCUAGUGCAAGUGGGAGUCCGAAGGAAAUAUUCCCUAGAGGCAAUAAUAAAGUUGUUAUUUAUAUUUCCUUAUAUCAUGAUAAAUGUUUAUUAUUCAUGCUAGAAUUGUAUUAACCGGAAACUUAAUACAUGUGUGAAUACGUAGACAAACAGAGUGUCCCUAGUAUGCCUCUACUAGACUAGCUCGUUAAUCAAAGAUGGUUAAGUUUCCUAACCAUAGACAUGUGUUGCAAUUUGAUAAACGGGACCACAUCAUUAGAGAAUGAUGUGAUGGACAAGACCCAUCCGUUAGAUUAGCACAAAUGAUCGUUUAGUUUUAUUGCUAAUGCUUUCAUCAUGACUCAUACAUGUUCCUCCGAUUAUGAGAUUAUGCAACUCCCGAAUACCGGAAGAACACCUUGUGUGCUAUCAAACGUCACAACAUAACUGGGUGAUUAUAAAGAUGCUCUACAGGUGUCUUCGAUGGUGUUUGUUGAGUUGGCAUAGAUCGAGAUUAGGAUUUGUCACUCCGUCUAUCGGAGAGGUAUCUCUAGGCCCUCUUGGUAAUGCUCAUCACUAUAAGCCUUGCAAGUAAUGCGACUAAUGAGUUAGUUGCGGGGUGAUGCAUUACAGAAUGAGUAAAGAGACUUGCCGGUAACGAGAUUGAACUAGGCAUGGUGAUACCGACGAUCAAAUCUCGGGCAAGUAACAUAUGGAUGACAAAGGGAACAACGUAUGUUGUUAUGUGGUUUGACUGAUAAAGAUCUUCGUAGAAUAUGUAGGAGCCAAUAUAAGCAUCCAGGUUCCGCUAUUGGUUAUUGACCGGAGAUGUGUCUCGGUCAUGUCUACAUAGUUCUCGAACCCGUAGGGUCCACACGCUUAAUGUUUGAUGACGAUUUGUAUUAUGAGUUUAUGUGAUUUGAUGACCGAAGAUUGUUCAGAGUCCCGGAUGAGAUCACGGGCAUGACAAGGAGUCUCGAAAUGGUCGAAACGUAAAGAAUGAUAUAUUGGACGAUGUUAUUCGGACACCGGAAGAGUUCCGGGAGGUACCGGGUAAAAACGGAGUGCCGGGGGGGUUACCGGAACCCCUCGGGGAAGUAAUGGGCCAACAUGGGCCUUAGGGGAGAGAGAGGGCACGCCACGAGGAGGUGCCCCCCCAUGGGGAGUCCGAAUAGGACUAGGGGAGGGGCGUUGUCGGUGUCAAAACCGGCGGAUCUCUGGUAGGGGGUCCCGAACUGUGCGUCUAGGAUUGAUGGUAACAGGAGACGGGGGACACGAUGUUUACCCAGGUUUGGGCCCUCUCUAUGGAGGUAAUACCCUACUUCCUGCUUGAUUGAUCUUGAUGAAUAUGAGUGUUACAAGAGUUGAUCUACCACGAGAUCGUAAUGGCUAAACCCUAGAAGUCUAGCCUAUGAGUAUAUGGUAAUGAAUCUGUCCUAUCCGGAUUAUUCUCUCCGGUUUAUAUAGACACCGAAGAGAUCUAGGGUUACAUAGAGUCGGUUUACAUAAGAAGGAAUCUUCAUAAUUGGUCUCCAAGCUUGCCUUCCACGCCAAGGAGAGUCCAAUCCGGACACGGGUAUAGUCUUCGGUCUUCGUGUCUUCACAGCCCAUCAGUCCGGCCCAUGGAUAACAGGCCGGACGCCCGAGGACCCCUUAGUCCAGGACUCCCUCAGGCGCGACCCCCCUCUCCCUCUCCCUCUCCUUCCUUCCCCCUCUCUCCCUUUUGGUGGAAUCCUACUAGGACUAGGAGUCCUAGUAGGACUCCCCUCUUGGGCGCGCCCUAGGUGUUGGGGAACGUAGUAAUUUCAAAAAAAUUCCUACGCACACACAGGAUCAUGGUGAUGCAUAGCAACAAGAGGGGAGAGUGUUGUCCACGUACCCUCGUAGACCGAAAUCGGAAGCCUUAGCACAACGCGGUUGAUGUAGUCGUACAUCUUCACGAUCCGACCGAUCCAAGUACCGAACGUACAGCACCUCCGAGUUCAGCACACGUUCAGCUCGAUGACGUCCUGCGAACUCCGAUCCAGAAGAGUUGCACGAGAGAGUUCCAUCAGCACGAGGCGUGGUGACGGUGAUGAUGUUGCUACCGACACAGGGCUUCGCCUAAGCACCGCUACGAUAUGACCGAGGUGGAAUAUGGUGGAGGGGGGCACCGCACACGGCUGGAAUAGAUCAACAGAUCAACUUGUGUGUCUAGAGGUGCCCUCCUGCCCCGGUAUAUAAAGGACCAGGGGGAGGAGGCGGCCGGCCAGGAGGAGGGCGCGCCAGGUAGGAGUCCUACUCCCACCGGGAGUAGGACUCCCUCUUUUCCUAGUUGGAGUAGGAGGGGGGAAGGAAGGGAAGGAGAGAGGGGGGAGGAAAGGGGGCGCCACCCCCCCCCCCUCCUUGUCCAAUUCGGACUAGAGGGGGAGGGGGCGCGCGGCCAGCCCUAGCCGCCCAUCCUCUUCUCCACUAAGGCCCAUCUUGGCCCGUUAAACUCCCCGGGGGGUUCCGGUAACCCCCCGGUACUCCGGUAUAUGUCUGAAACUCCCCGAAACCAUUCUGGUGUCCGAACAUAGUCGUCCAAUAUAUCGAUCUUUAUGUCUCGACCAUUUAGAGACUCCUCGUCAUGUCCGUGAUCAUAUCCGGGACUCCGAACUACCUUCGGUACAUCAAAACACAAAACUCAUAAUACCGAUCAUCAUCUAACUUUAAGCGUGCGGACCCUACGGGUUCGAGAACUAUAUAGACAUGACCGACACACGUCUCUGGUCAAUAACCAAUAGCGGAACCUGGAUGCUCAUAUUGGCUCCUACAUAUUCUACGAAGAUCUUUAUCGGUCAAACCGCAUAACUUGGCUCCUAUAUAGACUUGGAGGAAGUGUUGCAGGUGAACUGAAUGGAUAGAGAAAACUUGUUUUGGAACAUCAACUCUCCAGUGAAUAGAGCUCCAUUCCAACCAGUGAGGAUGCCACCAGAUGCCCCAAUGGAAGGUAAGUAUUCAAAUUUAUUAAAUCUCUGUGGGCAAACUUUAUGUAUAUAUGUUAAAUCAAAGGUCUCUCUCUUUGUUUCCUGUAAACACACAAUCCCAGCAGCACUUUCUUCCACUUUUUGCCUGAUAGCCAGCCACUUAUCUGAAGAAUUAAUACCUCUGACAUUCCAGUUUAGUAUAUUCCAGGUUCUGUUGUUAUUCAUUCAAAACCAAAAGUAUAUGUCCUUGUACACCAAGGUCCAACCCCUGGUGUAUAUCCCAAUAAUUGAUUCUUCUUUGAACCACAAAUAAAACAUAGCUCAUACAAGUAGUCACAUCAGACAAGCAUUGCACUGAAACAGAAUUGAGCCAAAGCCAAAGCAACAAGUAAUGCAUAAGGAGAGCUUUGAUGGCAGCAGAUACAGCACAGUUCACUCUCACAAAAGGGUACCACAGGUUACAUUCCAACCCAUUACAUUCAACUAACAAAAGAUGUCUUUCAGGACAAUCAUGCACUGUGGAACAAGUUCUGAGAUUAAGAUUCACUGCAAACAUAUAGAAAGGACAUUCCAAAAGAACAGCAGGACACUCUGCUAUUCCAGUCCAUCUGGUGUGGUCUUCUCAUCAUCACGCAAUCUUUGCUUUGUAGUCCUCUCCAGUGGCCUUAGACACCUUGGCCACCUCCUCCUGCCCCUUCUUUUUAGGCUUCUUGGACAGCUUUUCUUGAAGUUCAUCCUCAGCAACCUUACAGAAAGAUUUAGUCAGGAUUUUCACCACAGAAUUCUGAGUAACUGGUGGGAUAGCAUUACAUGGAAAACAGGAUUUAGCAUCACAUGAUUUUCUUCUAUAGCCCAUAUUAUCUUUCUUAAUCCUGUCACUCCUUCUUACCUCUGUUUCCACCAUAGGCUCUUUUUCCCUCCUUUUCCUUGAAAUAGCUUCACCCAGUGGAAGAAUUUUGUUUGGAGAGACUUGCUGAAGAGGACUGCCUGCCCCACUGGAGGAGUGAGUUGCUGGACUUACACCUUCAUUUUCCUUACCCUUCCCCAGCAAGAAAUAUUUGCAGGUUGGUGCCUGGGAAGUAGAACAUCUAUCAGGUAUAUGAAAAAGCAUAGUUUCCUCUUGUUCACAAUUAUCAGUCAACAUUUUCCACACAUCAGACUUUAGCAAGUGCAUUGUCCAACCAAACUUAUCGGGUGUCAACAACAAAUGUAUUAUGAAGUUGAACCAACUUACUGGUAUUUCAAUUUUGAAAGUGUUUGCUGCUCCUUGGGUUGCUGGUGCAAAAUGCUUAAUCCAGAGAUCAAGUCCUUCUUCAGACAUUAAAUGUGAACCAUCAAUAAUUUCCAAAGCAUGAUUUUCAGCCAGUUCAUGUAAAUCAAACAUAGUAGGAGAACCUGGCAAGGAAAAUGAUCCAUAGUUACCUUUGUUGUUAGGAUCUGAAGAGGUGCCAACAUGUGGAAUUGGGACAUCUUCCUUGCCCUUGUCAUCUGGAAGCAGAGCCUGUGGAGCAGUGACAGUUGCUCCAAUCAAAGAGCUGGCAGCAGCAAUUGCACCAUCACUUGGAAAAUCUCUCACAGCCUCAUUCUGUCUGUCUAUGACCAUCUUAGGAACAUAAUUGCCAGUAACUUCCUUAUCUCUACCAUCAUUGGGCCUAUCAUCCAUGUGGCCCAGCUGUAAGUCAAGCUGAAGCUCUGUAUCAGCAAUAUGAGGUACUAAAGCAGGCUCUAAGGCUAGAAUCUGUUGCUGAGCAUUGUCCAUAUUGUUUUGUGGCACCUGAUCCUCCUCUUCUUCAAUUGCAUUAUAGGCCAAUGCAAUGUUUAAGAGUCCUUAACCAAAUUGAGGAACUGGCACUCCCUGAUUGACCUCUUCACUGGUAGAGUGUGUAAUGGAAUGCAGACCAUCAGAGAGUGAGACGGUUGUUGUAAUGCUACUGUUAGGUGCCCCCUCUUCUGGCAUUACUGGAAUUUCAACUUGUUGUUGCUGGGGCUGAAUAGGCUCCAGUUAAGGAAAAGCCCAGUGUUGUUCUUGCUCUGCUUGCUCCUCCCAAGCAUCCCAGUCCUCAUUUGGGGCAUGAAUAUUGUCAAUGGGCAGAGGUUGGAAUCCUGGGAAGUCAUUUGCAUUUUGAGGUACAGGGUGUGGGUCCACACCAUCAGGUGGAAUGGGGUCUUCAUCAGCAGGCCCACCACCCAACAUUUCCUCCAGCAGCACUUCAACAGAGCAAGUCCAGGAGUCUUCUUCAAACCGCUCCCCUUCAGACCAUCUUAUGCUCUUUGGAAUUUCGUCAAGCUCUGUCACUCUGGAUUUUACCAAGAUCUUGCCUUUGAGUGCAUCCUCUUUCUCCCAGCUUAUGAUCUUACCCCAUUUGGAAAUAGCUGAAGCAAUAUCUUCAGUGUUGCAAAAAUCAAAAGGAACACCCACAAAGAGCAACCAACAAGUCCUAUUGAAAUGAACCCUGCGCCAAUUUCUGCCCUCAUUGUGUUUGGAAAAUGAGAUGAAAACAUCUCCAAAAGCAUGUGGACCCUGUUGAAUGAGCCUAUCUCUAUCCCUGACGUGCCUGAACUGCACAUAUGCCUCUCCAAACGGGCAUGGUUGUAUUUCCCUAAAUCCAACUUGUGCAUCUCCUUGAAGAAACUCUUCCAGAACCUCACGAACAUUUGGAAAAAAUACCUCGUCCGGGUGUGGAUGAACAUUGCCAAUCGCCCAGUCUUCAUGUCUUCUCGGGCGAUGGGGUACUAUUGCACAAGAAACCCGAGUUCGUCCCUCAAUCGCCUGAACCUGGAAGCCAUGCGGGACAAAAGGAAGAGGAUCGAUGGGGAUAUUGGCCAUCGCAGUCGACUCCAGCAGGGAGGCGACCAGAGCCCUCUUCGUCGACAAUGGCAGCAAUGGCGAGCUUGCCGAGGCGUGAGCAGAGGUGGAGGCAGAAGCAGUGGUGGAGACAGAAUAGGCAGGUGAAGUGGAAUGCGAGGAGGCAGGCGACGGUCUCGGCUUGAAGUUUGGGAAAAAAUCCUUGACCAGCUCCUUAAAUGAUGCCACCUGCCUAAUCUGCACCGCCGGCCCAAUACAAUGGAACCAGGAUUCAACCUCUCCAUCCGCCCAAGCGUUCUCUGGUGGGCUUGGGAAAGAACUAAAUGGAAUAAAAGGCCAAAGUCCAGUCAAGUUUGGAACAAUGCAAAAACGGGCGUAGUGGCCGUUGGCCCCGCAUGCAUGGCAAACCAUGUGAUUACGUGUAAUGGUACGUUGCACUUCAUUGUGCACCAAUUGAGGCCUGACCGAGGCAGAAUUAAUCUGUAAUGAAUUGUGGUUAAUGCCCUGAAUACUGCCCUCAUGAUUGAGCCCCGAUAACCGCUCGAAAACUGAUCUACCGUCUCUGACCACCGUGGAGUAGCUCCGCUGAUCACCGGAGUGAGGAACAAUUGCCUUGCCCGCCCUACCCACCAGAGUCCAUUCCUUGUCAAGCUCAGGAUAGUAAAGAGCUUCUUCCCGGCGCCAGUUUGGGCCACCAAAGUUCCAAAGGCUAAAAACCAACUCAAAAUCCUUUUCAAUGAUUCUACCCACAUUAUAUUCUCAAAACCUACAGACUUUGAAGCUACUGGGAACUUGUAAGAUUUGUCCCGUAGGAAACGAACUCGAAAUCCUUGGGCAUAGCCACCAAACGUGGCAAGAAGAGAAACACUAACCGUGUGCACAUAAAGCUUGAAAGAUGCUCGGCAAAAUGAUACCACCAUGGUGAACUCCUUUUGAUGAAAUCCCGGAGAGAAAACCACCGGGUGACCAAACUUGGUCCUCAUCUCCACUUGAAACUUCUUCCCACGGUCGAAGUUGAGAGAAAAGGGCACCAUCUUGAGAGGAGGGUGGCUACCAGGGCCGGAGUGGCCACUGGUAGGAGUUGAGUGGCCGCCGGGGCCGGAGUGGCCGCCGGCGCAAGGAGGGUGGAGCGCUUUAAUCCAGAUAUUCCUUAGCAGUCCCGAGAUUCGAUCGUCGGUAUCUCAAUACCUAGUUCAAUCUCGUUACCGGCAAGUCUCUUUACUCAUUCCGUAAUACAUCAUCCCACAACUAACUCAUUAGUUACAAUGCUUGCAAGGCUUAUAGUGAUGUGCAUUACUGAGUGGGCCCAGAGAUACCUCUCCGACAAUCGGAGUGACAAAUCCUAAUCUCGAAAUACGCCAACCCAACAAGUACCUUUGGAGACACCUGUAGAGCACCUUUAUAAUCACCCAGUUACGUUGUGACGUUUGGUAGCACACAAAGUGUUCCUCUCUUGUUUUUGUAAAUAUUAUUAGUUCAUCGGUCCCGAUUCAGCCUAUUAUGAAUGAACAUGUUUGCAAUGACAAUUAGAGAUUAUAGUUGCUCGUGCCAUGCUUGAUUAGCUAUGAGUUAUAAUGGUUUACCUUGCGUGCCAACAUGCUAUUAAAAUGGUUGUGAUGUGGUAUAGUGGGGUGGUAUCCUCCUUUGAAUGAUUUAAGUGACUCGACUUGGCACAUGUUUACACAUGUAGUUGAAACAAAUCAACAUAGCCUUCACGGUUUAUGUUCAUGGUGGAUUAUAUCCUACUCAUGCUUGUACUCAAUGUUUAUUAAUUUUAAUGCAUGUUCAUGACUGUUGUCGCUCUCUAGUUGGUCGCUUCCCAGUCUUUUGCUAGCCUUCACUUGUACUAAGUGGAAUACUGCUUGUGCAUUCAAUCCCUUAAACCCCAAAGUUAUUCCAUAUGAGUCCACUAUACCUUCCUAUAUGCGGUAUCUACCUACCGUUCCAAGUAAAUUUGUAUGUGCCAAACUCUAAACCUUCAAAUGAAAUUCUGUUUUGUAUGCUCGAAUAGCUCAUGUAUCAACUAGGGUUGUCCGUAUCUUCCAUGCUAGGCGGGUUAUUCUCAAGAGGAGUGGUGAAAGAACAUGCGGUGCCCCCAUGUUUGGUUUUGGUAAUUGAUGACAAUCUCUAUGGACUAAUGGUUGCCUUGAGUUAUAUUUGAAGGAUUUGUCCAUAGGCAUUUCUUGAAGUUCAUGUGUUGGUUUCAAGGAGUUUAUGUGGUGACCAAGGUAUUAUUAAGGAAUUAUCCAAAGAUUGGUCAUGUGAGAGUUGAGCUUAUUGCAAGCAUGUCUUGGAGAAGAAGAUUGUGUGAUCAUUCAUGUAUAUCUUCAAGACAUCAUCCAAAUGAAGAGAGUUGAAAAGAUUCAUGGUUGAUCAAGACUAAGUCAAGAGUGAAUCAACUUGAUCAACUCACAAAGCGUAGAAGAUGUACCGAGAGGGAUCGAGCGAUCCCAUGGUGUGGUAAGCAUUGUCAAUUACGCUUUGUGUACUAACCCAUGAUCUUCGUGAGAGUUCUUUGUGGGGUUAGGUUGCGGUGUGCAAGUUCAAGUGAAGCAUCAUGAAGAGAUCAAAUGCUUGAAGCUUGCCGUCCAUUGUGGUGACAAUGGACUUGUGAAGAUGUUGCGGUGUGCAAGCUCAAGUGAAGCAUCAUGAAGAGAUCAAAUGCUUGAAGCUUGCCGUCCAUUGUGGUGACAAUGGACUUGUGAAGAUGUGCGGAAGAGUGGCUCACCCAUAGUGGAGCAUGGGGGAGCAAUCAACUAGUCUUCAUCGAGCCAACGCAACCAAGAAAGGUGGUCCAACUUGAGGGAGUCAAGAUCGUCAUCAUCUAGCUCAAGUGGACCAUGUGCAAGGCAAAGGUUUUCUCUUGAUAGGUUUUCUAUUUUACCGGUCUCAUGAUGGUAGUUGGGAGACCGGGUUAUAGGAUCGAUUGCCGUACUAUCAAGGGGGGCUCUCGAUGAGUAGCUUGAUCGUAUCGUUCAUAGAGAGCUCAAACCAUUGCAUCCUUGCAUCAUCUUUUUUGGUUAUUGUUUGGUUCUUCUCUUUGUGAGUUUUGGAGCUUAUGGUCAUCUUGAUGACAAGCUCGAGUUCAUCGAAAACGGAGUUCACUCGCAUCUUCUAUGAUGUUUUCGAUGUUGGAGGUUAUGCCGGUUCUUCACGGUUGGAGGUUUCACUCCUCUAUUUGUUGGCACUCCUCUAUUUGUUUUGAUGCUACUCGUCUUCCUCUAUCCAACAAGCUUGAUUUUGCUCAAUUCGGAGCUCAUAUGCAGAAGUUAUGGCAGUUUUGGUUUCCUAGCGGUAGUACCGCGGGCCGGAGCGGUAGUACCGCUUGGGUGCUACAAGCGUUAGUACCGCUCUAGAGCGGUGGUACCGCUCCUGAGCGGUAGUACCGCUGGUAGCCCCCAGCCGUAGUACCGCUGCGGUCUCGUGCUAGUACCUCCUCGAUUCGAGGGGUCUUUUUUCGUGUCGGGUUUUACGGUACUAGCCACGGCAGUGGGGGCCGUUGUACCGCUCGUAUGCGGUAGUACCGCCCUGCCACCGCGGUAGUACCGCUCUGGGCCCAGCGGCAGUACCGCGAGGGGGAGCGGUAGUACCGCUUAUAGGGGCAAGCGGUAGUACCGCUGGCCAAGCGGUAGUACCGCUCUCUGCGGGGCUGAAGUGGGGGUAACGGUUGGAUUGUUCCCCCCACUAUAUAAGGGGGUCUUCUUCCCCAUUCUACUUUAUCUCUUGAGCUCGUGUUCUUCCCCCAUUGUUGACCUUCUUCGAGCUUGCUAACUCUCAAUCCCUCCAUGGAUUCUUGCUAGUUUUUGAGGGAAAAGAGAGAGGAGAUCUAGAUCCACAUUUCCACCAAUCACUUUCUCCUCUAUGUGAGGGGAACCCAUUGGAUCUAGAUCUUGGAGUUCUUGGUGUUCUCCUUCUUGUUCUUCCUCUCAUUUUCUUCCCUAGCAUUAGUUGCUUCAGUGGGAUUUGAGAGAGAAGGACUUGGGCACUCCGUGUGCCCUUGCCAUUGCAUUUGGUGCAUCGGUUUGAGUUCUCCACGGUGAUACGUGGAAGUUACAAGUUGAGAAGCUUAUUACUCUUGGGUGCUUGGUGCCCUUGAGCUUGUUCCUCUUGGGUGCUUGGGCGCCCUAGACGGUUGGUGGUGUUCGGAGCUCAAUCAUUGUGGUGUAAAGCUCCGGGCAAGCGUCGGGGUCUCCAAUUAGGUUGUGGAGAUCGCCCCGAGCAAUUUGACGGGUUCCGGUGACCGCCCCCAAGGGUUGCCAAAGUGUACGGGUUCGGUGACCGCCCCCAAGGGUUGCCAUUUGUACGGGUUCGGUGACCGCCCUCAAGGGUCCCUUAGUGGAAUCACGGCAUCUUGCAUUGUGCGAGGGCGUGAGGAGAUUACGGUGGCCCUAGUGGCUUCUUGGGGAGCAUUGUGCCUCCACACCGCUCCAAACGGAGAUUAGCAUCCGCAAGGGUGUGAACUUCGGGAUACAUCGUCGUCUCCGCGUGUCUCGGUUAUCUCUUACCCGAACCCUUUACUUAUGCACUUUACUUUGUGAUAGCCAUAUUGUUUCUUGUCAUAUAUCUUGCUAUCACUUAGUUGUUUGUCUUGCUUAGCAUAAGUUGUUGGUGCACAUAGGUGAGCCUAGUUGUUGUAGGUUUUGUGCUUGUCAAAUUAACCGCUAGGUUUAUUCCGCAUUUGUUCAAGCCUAAACCGUAAUUAUUUUAAAGCGCAUAUUCACCCCCCCCUCUAGGCGACAUCCACGAUCUUUCAAGUGGACUCCGCUCCUCAUUCACAAGAAAAUGGCUGGUCACCGGGAUGCCCAGUCCCAUGCUUUAUGCAAACUAAAUCAAAAUAAUUGCAAACAAAACUCCCCCUAGGACUGUUGCUAGUUGGAGGCACUCGUUGUUUCGAGCAAGCCAUGGAUUGAUGCUUGUUGGUGGAGGGGGAGUAUAAACUUUACCAUUCUGUUUGGGAACCGCCUAUAAUGUGUGUAGCAUGGCAGAUAUCGCCAUCUCUUGGUUGUUAUGUUGACAAUGAAAGUAUGCCGCUCAAAAUAUUAUUUAUCUCUAUUUGAAAACUGAGCUCUGGCACCUCUACAAAUCCCUGCUUCCCUCUGCGAAGGGCCAAUCUAUUUACUUUUAUGUUGAGUCAUCACCCUCUUAUUAAAAAGCACCAGCUGGAGAGCACUGCUGUCAUUUGCAUCCAUUACUAUUAAUUUAUAUUGGGUAUGACUAUGACUGGAUCUCUUUUACCAUGAAUUACAAUGUCUAGUCAGUCCUUGAUCUUUAAAGGUGCUCCGCAUUUAUGUUUUGCGGUCUCAAAAAGGGCUAGCGAGAUACCAUCUUGUUAUAUCAUAUCAUGAUUGUUUUGAGAAAGUGUUGUCAUCCGAGAUUUAUUAUUAUGGCUCGCUAGUUGAUUAUGCCAUUGAUAUGAGUAAACAUGAGACCUAAGUGUUAUUGCGAAUGUGGUUAGUCAUAAUCUUUGCUGAAAACUUGAAUGCUGGCUUUACAUAUUUACAACAACAAGAGCAAACAGAGUUUGUAAAAGUUUUUCUUUAUCACUUUCAGUUUAUCAACUUAAUUGCUUGAGGACAAGCAAAGGUUUAAGCUUGGGGGAGUUGAUACGUCUCCGUCGUAUCUACUUUUCCAAACACUUUUGCCCUUGUUUUGGACUCUAACUUGCAUGAUUUGAAUGGAACUAACCCGGACUGAUGCUGUUUUCAGCAGAAUUGCCAUGGUGUUAUUUAUGUGCAGAAACAAAAGUUCUCGGAAUGACCUGAAACUCCACGGAACAUAUUUUUGGAAAAUAUUAAAAAUACUGGAAGAAGAAUCCACGUCAGGGGGCCCACACCAUGUCCAUGAGGGUGGGGGCGCGCCUGCCCCCCUGGGCGCGCCCCCCUGCCUCAUGGGCCCCCUGACGCUCCACCGACCUCAACUCCAACUCCAUAUAUUCGUGUUCGGGGAGAAAAAAAUCAGAGAGAAGGAUUCAUCGCGUUUUACGAUACGGAGCCGCCGCCAAGCCCUAAAACCUCUCGGGAGGGCUGAUCUGGAGUCCGUUCGGGGCUCCGGAGAGGGGGAUUCGUUGCCGUCGUCAUCAUCAACCAUCCUCCGUCACCAAUUUCAUGAUGCUCACCGCUGUGCGUGAGUAAUUCCAUCGUAGGCUUGUUGGACGGUGAUGGGUUGGAUGAGAUCUAUCAUGUAAUCGAGUUAGUUUUGUUAGGGUUUGAUCCCUAGUAUCCACUAUGUUCUGAGAUUGAUGUUGCUAUGACUUUGCUAUGCUUAAUGCUUGUCACUAGGGCCCGAGUGCUAUGAUUUCAGAUCUGAACCUAUUAUGUUUUCAUGAAUAUAUGUGAGUUCUUGAUCCUAUCUUGCAAGUCUAUAGUCACCUACUAUGUAUUAUGAUCCGGCAACCCCGAAGUGACAAUAAUCGGGACCACUCCCAAUGAUGACCAUAGUUUGAGGAGUUCAUGUACUCACUAUGUGUUAAUGCUUUGGUCCGGUACUCUAUUAAAAGGAGGCCUUAAUAUCCCUUGGUUUCCAUUAGGACCCCGCUGCCACGGGAGGGUAGGACAAAAGAUGUCAUGCAAGUUCUUUUCCAUAAGCACGUAUGACUAUAUUCGGAAUACAUGCCUACAUUACAUUGAUGAAUUGGAGCUAGUUCUGUGUCACCGUAUGUUAUGAUUGUUACAUGAUGAACUGCAUCCGGCAUAAUUCUCCAUCACCGAUCCAAUGCCUACGAGCUUUUCAUAUAUUGUUCUUUGCUUAUUUACUUUUCCGUUGCUACUGUUACAAUCACUACAAAACCCAAAAAUAUUACUUUUGCUACCGUUACCGUUACUUCCAUAUUACUUUGCUACUAAAUACUUUGCUGCAGAUACUAAGUUAUCCAGGUGUGGUUGAAUUGACAACUCAACUGCUAAUACUUGAGAAUAUUCUUUGGCUCCCCUUGUGUCGAAUCAAUAAAUUUGGGUUGAAUACUCUACCCUCGAAAACUGUUGCGAUCCCCUAUACUUGUGGGUUAUCAAGACUAUUUUUUGGCGCCAUUGCCGGGGAGCAUAGCCGAUCAACGGGCAAGUCAACCAAAGUAACACUACUAUCAGCGUCCGUCUUCCUCUUGAAGAUCCAUUUAUUUUCUAUGGCUUGCCGAUCAACGGGCAAGUCAACCAAAGUCCACACUUUGUUCUCAUACAUGGAUCCCAUCUCAGAUUUCAUGGCCUCAAGCCAUUUUGCGGAAUCUGGGCUCACCAUCGCUUCUUCAUAGUUUGUAGGUUCACCUUAGUCAAGUAACAUGACCUCCAGAAUAGGAUUACCGUACCACUCUGGUGUGGAUCUUACUCUGCUUGACCUACGAGGUUCAGUAGUAACUUGAUCUGAAGUUUCAUGAUCAAUAUCAUCAGCUUCCUCACUAAUUGGUGUAGGUGCCACAGGAACCGGUUUCUGUGAUGAACUACUUUCCAAUAAGGGAGCAGGUACAGUUACCUCAUCAAGUUCUACUUUCCUCCCACUCACUUCUUUCGAGAGAAACUCCUUCUCUAGAAAGGUUCCAAAUUUAGCAACAAAAGUCUUGCCUUCAGAUCUCGGGAAUUGUCUUAUUCAUCCCUUGCAUGUUAUAGUUCAUCUCUUCCAUCUUGCAGCUGUAGAACUUAUUGGAGACUUCAUAUCUCUCAAUCCGGGCAUUUGCUUGAAAUAUUAACUUCAACUCCUGGAACAUCUCAUAUGCUCCAUGACGUUCAAAACGUCGUUGAAGUCCCGCUUCUAAGCCGUAAAGCAUGGCACACUGAACUAUCGAGUAGUCAUCAGCUUUGCUCUGCCAGAUGUUCAUAACAUCUGGUGUUGCUCCUGCAGUAGGUCUGGCACCUAGCGGUGCUUCCAGGACGUAAUUCUUCUGUGCAGCAAUGAGGAUAAUCCUCAAGUUACGGACCCAGUCCGUGUAAUUGCUACCAUCAUAUUUCAACUUUGCUUUCUCAAGGAACGCAUUAAAAUUCAACGGAACAACAGCACGGGCCAUCUAUCUACAACAACAUAGACAAGCAAGAUACUAUCAGGUACUAAGUUCAUGAUAAAUUUAAGUUCAAUUAAUCAUAUUACUUAAGAACUCCCACUUAGAUAGACAUCCCUCUAAUCAUCUAAGUGAUCACGUGAUCCAAAUCAACUAAACCAUGUACAAUCAUCAUGUGAGAUGGAGUAGUUUCAAUGGUGAACAUCACUAUGUUGAUAAUAUCUACUAUAUGAUUCACACUCGACCUUUCGGUCUCAGUGUUCCGAGGCCAUAUCUGCAUAUGCUAGGCUCGUCAAGUUUAACCUGAGUAUUCCGCGUGUGCAACUGUUUUGCACCUGUUGUAUUUGAACGUAGAGCUUAUCACACCCGAUCAUCACGUGGUGUCUCAGCAUGAAGAACUUUCGCAACGGUGCAUACUCAGGGAGAACACUUAUACCUUGAAAUUUAGUGAGAGAUCAUCUUAUAAUGCUACCGUCGAUCUAAGCAAAAUAAGAUGCAUAAAAGAUAAACAUCACAUGCAAUCAAUAUAAGUGAUAUGAUAUGGCCAUCAUCAUCUUGUGCUUGUGAUCUCCAUCUCCGAAGCACCGUCAUGAUCACCAUCGUCACCGGCGCGACACCUUGAUCUCCAUCGUAGCAUCGUUGUCGUCUCGCCAACUAUUGCUUCUACGACUAUCGCUACCGCUUAGUGAUAAAGUAAAGCAAUUACAGGGCGAUUGCAUUGCAUACAAUAAAGCGACAACCAUAUGGCUCCUGCCAGUUGCCGAUAACUCGGUUACAAAACAUGAUCAUCUCAUGCAAUAAAAUAUAGAAUCAUGCCUUUGACCAUAUCACAUCACAACAUGCCCUGCAAAAACAAGUUAGACGUCUUCUACUUUGUUGUUGCAAGUUUUACGUGGCUGCUACGGGCUGAGCAAGAACCGUUCUUACCUACGCAUCAAAACCACAACGAUAGUUCGUCAAGUUAGUGAUGUUUUAACCUUCUCAAGGACCGGGCGUAGCCACACUCGGUUCAACUAAAGUUGGAGAAACUGACACCCGCCAGCCACCUAUGUGCAAAGCACGUCGGUAGAACUAGUCUCGCGUAAGCGUACGCGUAACGUCGGUCCGGGCCGCUUCAUCCAACAAUACCGCCGAACCAAAGUAUGACAUGCUGGUAAGCAGUAUGACUUGUAUCGCCCACAACUCACUUGUGUUCUACUCGUGCAUAUAACAUCUACGCAUAAAACCAGGUUCGGGUGCCACUGUUGGGGAACGUAGUAAUUUCAAAAAAAAUCCUACGCACACACAGGAUCAUGGUGAUGCAUAGCAACGAGAGGGGAGAGUGUUGUCCACGUACCCUCGUAGACCGAAAGCAGAAGCGUUAGCACAACGCGGUUGAUGUAGUCGUACGUCUUCACGAUCCGACCGAUCCAAGUACCGAACGUACGGCACCUCCGAGUUCAGCACAUGUUCAGCUCGAUGACGUCCCGCGAACUCCGAUCCAGCAGAGCUUCACGGGAGAGUUCCGUCAGCACGAUGGCGUGGUCACGGUGAUGAUGUUGCUACCGACGCAGGGCUUCGCCUAAGCACCGCUACGAUAUGACCGAGGUGGAAUAUGGUGGAGGGGGGCACUGCACACGGCUGGAAUAGAUCAACAGAUCAACUUGUGUGUCUAGAGGUGCCCCCUGCCCCCAUAUAUAAAGGACUAGGGGGAGGAGGCGGCCGGCCAGGAGGAGGGCGUGCCAGGGAGGGGUCCUACUCCCACCGGGAGUAGGACUCCCUCUUUUCCUAGUUGGAGUAGGAGGGGGAAAGGAAGGGGAGGAGAGAGGGGGAAGGAAAGGGGGCGCCCCCCCCCCCUUGUCCAAUUCGGACUAGAGGGGGAGGGGGGCGCGGCCAGCCCUAGCCGCCCCUCCUCUUCUCCACUAAGGCCCAUCUUGGCCCAUUAAACUCCCCGGGGGGUUCCGGUAACCCCCCGGUACUCCGGUAUAUGUCCGAAACUCCCCGAAACCAUUCCGGUGUCCGAACAUAGUCGUCCAAUAUAUCGAUCUUUACAUCUCGACCAUUUCGAGACUCCUCGUCAUGUCCGUGAUCAUAUCCGGGACUCCAAACUACCUUCGGUACAUCAAAACACAAAACUCAUAAUACCGAUCGUCGUCUAACUUUAAGCGUGCGGACCCUACGGGUUCGAGAACUAUGUAGACAUGACCGAGACACGUCUCUGGUCAAUAACCAAUAUCGGAACCUGGAUGCUCAUAUUGCCUCCUACAUAUUCUACGAAGAUCUUUAUCGGUCAAACCGCAUAACAACAUACGUUGUUCCCUUUGUCAUCGGUAUGUUACUUGCCCGAGAUUCGAUCGUCGGUAUCUCAAUACCUAGUUCAAUCUCGUUACUGGCAAUUCUCUUUACUCGUUCCGUAAUACAUCAUCCCGCAACUAACUCAUUUGUUACAAUGCUUGCAAGGCUUAUAGUGAUGUGCAUUACCGAGUGGGCCCAGAGAUACCUCUCCGACAAUCGGAGUGACAAAUCCUAAUCUCAAAAUACGUGAACCCAACAAGUACCUUUGGAGACACCUGUAGAGCACCUUUAUAAUCACCCAGUUACGUUGUGAUGUUUGGUAGCACACAAAGUGUUCCUCCCGUAAACGGGAGUUGCAUAAUCUCAUAGUCAUAGGAACAUGUAUAAGUCAUGAAGAAAGCAAUAGCAGAAUACUAAACGAUCAAGUGCUAAGCUAACGGAAUGGGUCAAGUCAAUCACAUCAUUCUCCUAAUGAUGUGAUCCCGUUAAUCAAAUGACAACUCAUGUCUAUGGCUAGGAAACAUAACCAUCUUUGAUCAACGAGCUAGUCAAGUAGAGGCAUACUAGUGACACUCUGUUUGUCUAUGUAUUCACACAAGUAUUAUGUUUCCGGUUAAUACAAUUCUGGCAUGAAUAAUAAACAUUUAUCAUGAUAUGAGGAAAUAAAUAAUAACUUUAUUAUUGCCUCUAGGGCAUAUUUCCUUCACUAGGGGACGGCCGGCCCUCCCCUCCUCCCUCCUUUAUAUACGUGGGGAGGGGGCACCCUAGAACACAGAAGUUGAUCUUUUAGCCGUGUGCGGUGCCCCCCUCCAUAGUUACACACCUCGGUCAUAUCGUCGUAGUGCUUAGGCGAAGCCCUGCGCCGGUAACUUCAUCAUCACCGUCACCACGCCGUCGUGCUGACGGAACUCUCCCUCGGCCUCAACUGGAUCAAGAGUUCGAGGCACGUCAGCGAGCUGAACGUGUGCUGAACGCGGAGGUGUUGUACGUUCGGUACUUGGAUCGGUUGGAUCACAAAGACGUUCGACUACAUCAACCGCGUUACUAAACGCUUCCGCUUUCGAUCUACGAGGGUAUGUGGACACAGUCUCGCGCUCGUUGCUAUGCAUCUCCUAGAUAGAUCUUGCAUGAUCGUAGGUAAAAAUUUUGAAAUACUGCGUUCCCCAACAAUUUUUUCACAAAAUGAUAUGUAUCCGUGCUCCAAGUGCAUCGACUGAGUUACGCUUGACGCAGAAUUAUCCUCCAAACGGAUAUUUUACGUACAGUAAUUUCAAAAUGAAAUAAUACAAUGCUCAAAUGAUAGUGCCUUCUAUAAUUACGCUUGACGCAGCAAAGAUACACAGGACUCUAGAAAUGCAAAAGAACAUGAGCUGCAUAUGAAUGACAUGGAAGAAGCCGAGAUACCUUUGCAAAGGAUAGCAGGCUGACACCAAGCACAAUCGUCCAGCAUAGAUGGCAUGAAAUUUACAUUGUCUGUGUAGUAAUGCAACAUGCCUAUAUCAGCAAGCAUGUCUACUAAUCACCUAUAAUAGAGUAUCAACAGAGUGCAGUGAAACAAGAUACCAGAAUAUCUAUUUACAACCCACAUAUUCAAAAAUCACAAAAUUAAUGUCUUUAUGCAUAAUAAAACACCAUAUAUUUUUUUCUUAAAUAUAUCCAAAGCUUUUAGGCUAAAUAUUAGUACUAUAUACCAUGAAGAAGGAUUACUCCAGUAGACUUUCCAAUCAUCUUCACAUGGCUGAUGCUAAUGAGUCCAUCCCUGCUCUUAUCACCUAUAUAAAACAAAGACCAUCAGUUACAAAAACCACAUUAUACAAUCCAUGAAACAUAGGAGGGAUCUCAGGGGCAGGAGGAGAGGGGGAUCUCACCUUGGCUCCGAGACUGUUGGGUGCCGUCGUGGAGGUGCUCUGAACCAGGAAACACCAAUAAUAACCACAAAGGACUGGAAAUAACCACUUCCAUGUAACUGAGAACUGAAAAAAAGAUACAAAAAGGAAAGGUGGAUUGAACAUUUUCUCACAAAGCGUAUAGAAUUAAUUCCUUGGAUAAAACAAUACCAUCACACCAGAUAAACCAACAUAAGAUCAUUUUGAUUAACGGAACCAUAAACACGUUAGGCAUAGAACCUCAAUUAUCUUCCUAACCAACCAUGUGGGCUAUCUAAUCCCUAAGAUAAAUAAAUAAGCAAGGAUCAAUCAAAACAAACCAACACCGCUCAGAUUUGUAGCAUUAGUUGAACCAGUGAUUAAGGAGCGAGAAUGUGUCCCUUAUGAAAAAAUAGCAUUAGUUGAACCAGUGAUUAAGGAGCGAGAAUUUGUACUCAAAUUUAAUAUGUGUGGUAUUCAAAACUACUAAACUCUAGUGUCAAAAGAGAUGUGAUGCAUAGACCUUUUCAGGACCUUAACCUUGUUUGGAUAAAUGCUCAGGUUUAACAUCAUAUUUCAGGAUCCUAAAGCAUUCCAAUCUUUUCUCUAAAAACUGACCAUAUGUGCGAACCCAUGCAUAACAGUCCUAAGUUGGACAACACUCAAUCUUAGUACAUAGGAAAAUCAAAGGAUAAUAAGCAGGCCACGGUAUUUCAUACCAAAUGAAGAGAUACUAACCGACUGGACUGGAGUCAUCCUUGAAGUUUGAGAUCUGCAGAAUAUGCCCCCUUUGUGUAAAAUUAAGAAGUUCUUCCAGAAUACGCCCAUCUGCAGAAGCCUAUGAACCACUACAAUUGUCUUCAGUGCUACCUGUACGCUGCAAAAGAUGGGAUGGCGAAAAUCAAUUGACUGCUUAUAAGAUUCUGAAAGAUAGGAGAGGCUGAGGGCUAGAGCAGAUCAGAGAGGAGGAGGAUGGGACGAUGAACUCACCGGAAAAGGAGGAGGCCAGUCCGAUGCGCCCGUGCAAGGCUGUACCUCAUGGCCAGCGGGAAGCGGAGCCACGCAUGGGGUCGAGGGAGGAGACGAAGAGGAGCGGCCGGAGUCCACCAGAGCCGCGGUAGCCGGGGCCGGGGCGGGACGUUAGGGUUUGGGCGGCGCCAGAUCGGAGGGGUGGAAGGAAGAGGUCGUGAGGGGAGGAGGCCGGGCGGCGGCGGGGAAGGAGGAGAGGGAGGCGCGGGUGCGGGAGGAGGAGGCGGCGCGAGGGGUGGAAGGAGGAGGCCGUGAGGGGAGGGGGCCGGGCAGCGGCGUGGAAGGAGGAGAGGGGGCGCGGGUGGGGAGGAGGAGGCGGAGCGAGCGGGAGAGGAGCCGGCCAGGGUUGUCUCCAUGGGAGCAGCCCUUUUAUACCCCCAGUGCGCGAAAUGAAGAAAAUGCCCCCGGCGGGGCAGGCUAUCUACGCGCGGUGGCACGACCGGGGCUGACACGGUUUAUUGCAACGGUCUCAGUUUUUAUCCGACGGACGAGGUCAACCGUGGGCGCGAUCCAACGGCCGAAAACGCAUCAGGAACGAGAUCGGACGGCCCAUAUGCUCUGAGCUCUGAGGAGGCUCGGUGCUCCCUUCGUUUCUUCUCUUUUGAUUCCCAUUGCCAAUACCAACUUUCCCCCUUUCAAAUAGAUUCUUUUGAUAUAAGUAGUUUCGUUGUUAUGGUGUCUUCCAAGGAUAAAUAUUGUUUUUUUAACAGGGGCUUCUACAGUGCACACAUGCACGAUAUACAUCCACCCUCCUUCACGGUCACUUGCAGCAUGGUCAAAUACACAAGACGUCUUUCUCAACAAAAGAACAGACACACACAAGAAGACCCCAUCAGAACAGAAGCGCGCAAGAUGCUUGGUCAUAUCUCCUUGGAAAAAAUUGUAGCUGCAGUGAGCUAGCCAUCGACUUAUCAUGAUCGCAACUGACACUGACAUGAACACACUGUUAUGAACAUAACAAUCCAAGGAAGUCUUCCAGACAGACAAGGCAAAUUAAACUAAGGAUCACAAGCGUGCAGUUGCUCCUACCCAGCCAUAAACAAACCGGAGUGGAUCGAACGGUCCAAAGCCGCACUGAUUGAUGUUGGUUUUUCGCAUGCGAAUUAAUGCGCGUCCGAACAAGAACAAUGACACCAUACGCUCUCUGUCAAUCAGUCACAACUUUUCCAAAAUUUUAGCGGGAGGAGACGUCUUCGUCGACUACGAGGCGCUUACGGUGAUUUAGUAAAAUCUCAUGAUGGUAUGCCGAUUCGGUCUCUCGGAUGUGCUCAGAGAGGUAGGGUGUGCGCAUGUGCGUUCAUAGGAUUGAGUGUAUGCGUGUUUACAUGAGCGCUUACGCGUACUGUGUUCGAAGAAAAACCGUUUCAAAAUUUACAUCCAUUCCCAACAUUGUUUCUUAUUCCAAACAAAUUAACCCAUGACUGAACAUCGGCGACAUGCAACUAUGCAUGGCAGAGGAUCCAGUUCAGAAGAUGUGGAGGAUGUCCUGGAUGAAGACGUUGCAGAGCGGGCAGUUGCCGCGGGUGUGCCGGAGCUCGCGGGAGCAGAGGCGGCAGAAGGUGUGGCCGCACGGGAUGAAGGCCGCGCCCUUGUGCCGCACCAUGCACACGCAGCACACCUGCAGCUCCUCCUCUUCUUCCUCUUCGUGGCGCUCGCCGCGACCGUCCUCGUCGUUGUCCUCGACCGAGCCGCACCGGGACGCGCCGCCGUCCUCGCCCGCUUCGUCCCAGUGGCCGUCGGCCUGCUCCAUCAGCGUCAUGAGGGACGUCGACGCCGCGGCCGGCGGCGGCAAAUCAUUGUCCUCCGCCUCCUCUUCGACGUCGCUGCCGCCCUCGUCGUCGACCACGGCGCGAAGCGACGGCGCGCGGGAGAAGGCGGCGGACGCCUCACCGGACGUGUAGUUGCUCUUGCCGCUGCUUCUCGGGGCGGCACGGCUCGCCGCAGCGCUAGGCUUGGUCUCCGACCCCGCCGCGUGCCACGCCCCCGCGGCGCGGCGGAGCCAGAGCCGGUGGCGCAGCGGCCUCCAGUUGAUCGCACCGCCGGCCCCGCCCUCGCCUCGAACGUCCCGGUCGAUGGCGUCCAUGAGCGUGCACGGCCUUUCCUCGUCGUCGUCGUCGUCCGGGAUCCUGAGGAAGUCGCGGAUGGCCGGUUCGGCGGGCGUGGAGAGCUGCUCCUUGAGCGUCAUGGCGCGCCGCAGCUCCGGCCGCCGGUCCAUCGGCAGGCCUCGAUCGGCGGCACGGCGUCUCGUUCGCGUCGGGGGGUGGUGACUGCGGUGGUUGAGAGGACAGAGAGGCGGGCUGCGGUUGCGCGCGAGUGGGGAGGACGGGAGACGCCGUGGACUGGAGCGGGUCUCGCGGGGUUUUUAAACCCUGGAACGCAAUUACCGCAAAGGCGCGCGGAUGGGAGCUAAAUUACGCUGGGUGCCACGCUAAGUCUGACUUACUACGGGCGCCUGGCUUCCACCAUGCUAUUGGGCAGUGGAGUAAUUUGCCCACUUGAUGUACUAAAAUUUGACAACGGAAUCGCUGGAGGUCAAGAAAACUAUUUCGAAAUCCUGUACUUGCAAGUCUGCCCACUUGUGAUCUAAAUUUUGACGACGGGAUAGCUGGAGGUCAGGAAAACUAUUUCGAAAAUGGGUACGUACUUGCAGAUUGCUGGUGAAUGUGACGGUACGUUGUAGUAGAGAAAAUAUAGCAGCGCCUGCCGCUUGAACAGUGGGUUUUCAAACUUUGAAGAAACAGAAGUACUGGAACAGUGCGCGCACGGCACGGACGUACGCGAUGCGUGCAAGCAACGGAACCUGGUACGUACCACGGCAACAGGAGCGGGCUCACUUUGUUUACUGUCGCCCAGGCAUGCAUGAGAGUUGGUGCUACAUGCACCUCGAAGUAAUUGUGGUCGCGUCGGCCAAGAUGAACCUCGCCUCCUAUUUAUUUGCCAAGAUGGAACUGCAUCGCCAUUCUGGGUUGAUGAGCGCGCACCUGGAAGUGCCGUGCGUACUGCCUAGUAUCUAUUUUCUGUACACUGUUAGCAUGAUGCUGUAGACACUGAACAUUGCUGUUGAUUUGCAGUAGGCACUGACUGAACAUUGCUGAACUGAAGCCCUGCGCACCUAACCCAACCCGGUUUUGGCCUGCAUGUGUAUAAUAUGCUGUAGCGAACGUAUGUACGUAGAGGACGCGCGUUGGUUGGUUGGUUGGCCGGGGUCCGCGACAGGAACCGAAGCCAUUGAUUGUAUCUCUACUCCGCUGUAGUGUAGCGAGCGUGCGUGCGUACGUACGCAGCCAGCCGUGUAUUCGGCUGGGUAAUGAACCCCCUCCCCGUCGUACGUCCACGUCCGCUACUGCAACCACUAAGGCAGCUACGUCUGACUGACCUAUCCGCAGCAUUGCCCGUCUGUCCAGCACUGUAUGGCUACGCGCGUGGCCCGCACGCAGACAGCGGGAGGAAAACCAGGCGAGACGAUGGGACGAUGGUCCGAUGAUAGCACCGUCUCAACUCCCACGACGGAUGGUAGUAUACACUGUAUACUGCGUGGUGAACCUGAACCUGGAAGGCAAGGAAGGAGGCGGGGGCGCGCGCCGUAGCCCGUAGGUGGUGGCAUGGCCGUGGCGAUGGCGACGGCGACGAUGCGCAGGGGAGGACGCGUCUGGCACAGUCUUCUCCGCAGGCCCGGGAGCGACCGACCGCGACGCGCCCGUGGCCACCGUCGUCUCGUCGUCGUCGUCGUCGUCUGGCCCGUGAUCGAGGCGGAAUCAUCGGGUCGAUGGGGCCUUCGAGUUUUGGCGAUUUCCUCCUAGCUCGCCUUGGCAGCCGGCCAGCCUGUGCCCUCUGGUCGAUCGGUGUCACGUACGCUUACAUUCCGUUGUGGGGUUUACGGAUUUUGUUGGUAUAUACUCCUACAUUGCCACGCUACGUCGGGCCUCGAUCGAGUUCCUGCACAAGGCCUCAACAUAUAUCUACCAUUCUUAAAAAGUUGCUCCCUACUUCUCCCUAUUCUGUCAACAUGCAGCCCGUCCACAUCAUCAUCUAGCCAUGUCAGCAAUUCCUCCUGAUUUUCCUCGUCUAUUUCACCUUAACUAUCGCGAGCAUGAGUGCAAUAGAUAAUUAGCAAAAAACUGAACGCAAGCGUCCAUGCGUCCCUUGCUUGCCAUGCAUAAUAAACGAUACUCCCUCCGUCUAGGUGUGUAAGUCACAUUAGAAGGUGCAUCGCGACCUAGGUGCAAGCUGAUUGGAAGAGAAGAAAAUUUGGACUGGUUCUCCUUCCAAUCAAACUGCAGAUUUCUUUCUUCUAAACGUAGCAUUUAAUCGUAGCAAUUAAGAGGAUGAUGUUUUAGCUACCCACGCAGGCCCACGUACUUCUAGCAUGCAAAGCCGCUUUAAUUUAUUGCCUAAUCAACGCAUAGACGUGCUGCAUGCAUUGGCCAUUACCUGAGAAAAAAACAGGAGAAAAUGAGUUUUCGCUGGAAGAUAAUGAGGCAUAGGAGGCAAAGCUCGCUGGCGAACAAGACCGGGAGGGAAUCGAGACGGAAAAUUGAUGAACGGCGCCUAAACGUUUUGGGAAAACCUGAUUUUCGUAAGGUGACUUACACACCUAGACGGAGGGAGUAAUCAAAACUUGGAUGCGUUGGUUUCACAGAUAUAGCCAUUAAUAUAGAAAACUGCUAACUAUGUACACAGGACAUGAAUAAGGAAAUUGCUUUGACUAAUGAGAACAGUUUAAUACUCCGACGACUAGGUUCCUUCGUCUUCCUGAAGGAAUAAAUCUCCAAGGGUUCCCUACAAAAAUCCCAACUGAUUCUCCCAUAUAUAUAUCUCUACCCCCCUCUCAUACUGUGCCGCCGCCGGCCAUGGGUCCAUAGACGUUGGAGUCCCGCAAACUGCUGCCAUAAUACUUGAAUGUGUAUGCCCCUGGUUUGUUCACAUCCGCAGUCGAACACCACGUCGAGUGGCACCGUCCACUCGAACGCGACAACCCGCACCCUUCUGGCCGGUCAGAUCUCCGAUGAGCACUACUACUCGCAAAUCAGCUGGCACUGGUCGUGAUCUUCCGACUCACGUCCGGUACACUCCCAAGAAAGGCGCCAUCCUGGUGGUGAUUCCGGACCAGUACAUGGUCGUCGAGCGCUUCUGCAGUGCUCGCCACGGCCUCCACCGCUUCUCGGCGCGAACGCCGACGCCGGGUACGCCUACGCGUGGGUGGGUGAUGCCGAGCGCGAGUGCCCCGGCCAGUGCUCGGGUAUGCCCAAUAGUUUAUGGACUGGUAUUGCACUGAAAGAGUGUCAGGUUCUCUUACCUUCUACUCAUGUGCUCAUGUAUUUUUAUGCAAUGGAAAACAUAGUGAUUUUUUAAUCAAGUACUUCCUCCGUAAACUAAUAUAAAAGUGUUUACAUCACUAAAAUAGUGAUCUAAACGUUCUUAUAUUAGUUUACAGAGGGAGUAUAUUGGAUGCAUGCCAUCAUUCUAUUUUUGUUCAUGAAAUGCUUCCAUGGAUUUUCAAGGAGAUUACCCGACGCUUCUAUUUUUGUUCUCUUAUCUGCUAGCGAAGGCUUGAGAUCUGCUAGCGAAGGAUUGACAAUUUGUCCCUAGGCUCCCCCGAGUCGCCUACCCGCGCCGCCGGCGGACCUCCCCCCACCCCAUCCCCUGCUUCGCCGCCGCCGGAGGGGACGCGGGCUAAGCCGCGCGUACUCCAGGGAUGGUGGCGGCGGGGCUCUCACGGCUGGCGUUCUCGCGGAUCCGAGGCGGCGGCCUCUGCUCAGGCGGACGGUGGGCGUCGGUAGCAGCGCCACGCGACGGAUGCCGCUCGGUGGUCGGCGCUGAGCGCGGAUCUGGGUCGCCCUGCGCGAGGUGAGGGCGCCCGGAGCUCUGCUCGGCCUCGGGGCCGCGGUGCCGGCCUCCGUGCUCCGGUGGUCCACCUUGGGUCGCGCGGCGGCGUCCUGCCCAUGGCCUCGCCUCCUGAUGGUUCUGGGCCAGCCGCGGUUCGCGUUGGGGGUGGAUCUUGAGGCUUGGUGGUGAUGUGUUUCGCUGGACUGGCUGAAUCCGAUUGGAUCGGCCCAUGGUCGUCCGGCUUGGGGCAGAGGAGGGUGGUGGCGGCUCGCUGCUGGAAGCUAGGCUGUGUGCUGUAGGUGGGGGUGGCUGCGUGGAGGAGGGGUGGUGGGCGGUGGAGGUGCUGCAACAGCAAGGUUCGAUCCCCCCGCCUUCAGUCUGCAUUGCGGGCGCUUUGGAUCUGGCCUCCCGCAGGCGUGCGGUGGCGCGCGUGGGGCGCGUCGGCGUGCCUGAUGUAUGACUGUAGCCCGGAACCAUGGUGGUUCUUGGCCUCGGGCAGCGCCCCUCUGCUCCUUGCCUGCAUGGUGCUUGGUGGGGCACGGUGGCUCACGUUGCGUCCGGUGGCUCUGCGUCCGGCCGGCCAUUGGUGGAUCUGGCGUCGAGUGCUGAGUUUGGACGUCGGUGGUCUCCGCGAGGUGCGGCUGGCUGAGGCGGUUCGUCGUGCUUCUUCAUCGUUGGAGGGUUCGACGGCAGUGGUGGUCGGCUGCCGUCUUGCUGUAGGGAUGUGCUCAAACUCCGGGUGAGAACCCUGCAUCGGCUCUGUUGAUGCCGGCGGCAGCAGCGUCUACGGACGUCGUUUUUCUCGUAGGAGGUGCCAUCGUGGAGCUACAUCACCUACAGUUCUUUGUUUGUGGUCUCCGAGUGAAAACCCAAGAUCGGGCUUGCCGGAUCGGAUGACGGUGUUGUGUGCUCGACAACACUACCUCCUUGGAGGCGUCGUCUUGGAGACCCAAACAACGGCUUCUGUUGCUGUGUGUGGUGAUGUGUGGUGCGUUUGGUGGUGGUGGUGCGGCCUGCUCAGGACUGAGGGUGGUGUGUUCUUCUUCAGGUGUUUCUCUUCGACUGUCCUACGUGUGGUCUCCGGCCUGCUACUAUGCAUGCUCAUGACCCUGUUCUGUUGAGGCGAGCCUCGGGCUCUUGGUCUCGUCUUGGUUCACCUUUGCUCAAUGAUGACGCAAUGACGCCUCCCCGACUUGCUAAUCGUCUUGAACUUCCGUGACAGAGCGCUCAGUCAAGGUUCGUGUUAGUUUUGGCACAAGGUUCGUGUUAAGCUUUGGCACUCGUUGAUUGUGGAUGCUCCUCUGUUGUGCCGUGGGGUUUGAUACGCACGCCGGUGCGGUGCGUUAGGCUGUUUAUAGAGUCUUGGUAUUGUGAUCCCUCGACGCACCCCUCAUCUACCUGGUCCUGUUAGUAUGCUAGCUAGGUCUUGCCUUAUGUUGGGCGUCAUGUUCCUCUCCUUUCCUUAUAACACUUGUUACUUGUCUGGUUUUUGGCUUGGUUUUCCUCAUAAACGGGGUCAAUUUGUUAAGGUUUUCGAUCCGGUUUUCCUUAUAAACUGGAUCACUCUUCUAGCAUUAUGGCCACUUUGAGCAAUAUAUUCAGGUGGAGGGACUCCUCCCCCGGUGAUUCUAAAAAAAAGGGGGGGAUUAUCUUUAUAUCUUCCUAAGUGACUUGCAGCUAGCAAUGCUGGAUUGGUAUCUAUACCUUUUUUUGCAACGAGGUAACUAUGCACUAACUCUUUUUGUAUGAUGAUUGGUUGUUAAUGUUAUACACUAAUAUUGGAUUGAUUUUUUUCUGCCAUAGUAUGCUGCUUGCCAGCCGUUUCUACACUGGAGCACCUUCAGUCAUUUGUGCACCUACAGAUGUGUAAUCCAGAUUAUAUAUGUUUGAUAUUUUUCGACAAAACUGUAAUCUUAAUUUUAAGUGACACCAUUAGUUCAAUGGCAAAAUCUGUCCGAGCAUUUUAUAUGCCUUAGGUAUUGUGACAGGAUUAAUGUAAAUACUUUUGCCUCUCUUCAUAGCCGUCUUAAAUCACCACAUUAGUUCUCAUAAUGACCAGUAACAUCUUAUUGCAGAGGUUACAUCUUCUUCAAGUUUACUAGUGAUUGAGGCGCCAUCAUGUGGCGUCGCUUAAGAGAAAGCUGUGUCCACGUUUUCAUUUAAAGAAAAUACAUAGAGUCCUCGAGUCCUCGCCUCCUUCUAAAAAACAUGUCAAAAAAAAUAUCCUCACCUUCAUCUAAAAAAAGGUAAACAAGAAAAAAGAAAAAAAAAUACCACAACAACCUACCAGCGAGUGCCACUUUGCAUAAUCAACCAUUUAAAAAAAUACCAGAGGUCCUCAUCUUCAUCUAAAAAAAUACAUUUAAAAAAUGAUCCAUGCCUUCAUCUAAAAAAAAUUGCAAAAGAUUUCUUACGUGGCCAACCAGCUUGCGCCACGUGGCAUAGCUGGUUGGCUGCCCUUCAUGUGUAGCUUAAUGGUUUGCAAAAGCUUUCUCACCGCGGCCAACUAGCUUGCGCCACGUGGCAUAGCUGGUUGGCCGUCCUUCACGCGUAGCUUAAUGGUUUGUAAAAACUUUCUCACCACGGCCAACCAGCUUGCGCCAUGUGGCAUAGCUGGUUGACCGGCCUUCACACGUACCUUAAUGGUUUUAAUGCGGGGCUUAAAGGGAGAGCGCUGAGUUACAUAACAAUCUUGCAUUAUUAUACCCGUGGAGUAUCACUAUGAUAGUACCUUACAUCCUUGUGGUUGGUGUAGCAUCUUAUGCUUAGGUAGUUGGUAGUUACUCGCUUGGAAAAUUAUAUUAUGUUCUGUAUAUACUUCACCGGUGGUCAGUAGAAAAUAAUAAGACAUGCAUUUUGAGGUUCUAAUGUUUGUGAUCCUGAACCUGAAUAUUCUCUAUAAUUAUAUUAUGUUUUAGAGAUUGCUUCCGCUUAAGAUUUUCCAUGCGCAUUAUAGCCGCUUUUUACAAAUUCCCGCCGCAACGCGCGGGGUAUCUUUUAGUGUACCUAGGGAUGAAACCAGAGCGGAAACGAGCGGAACUAGACGCUAUCAAUUUUUUUUUACAAAAGCAAAAAUGAAUACAGAAAUGCGGAAAAUAGAUUACUAUCGAAAACAAACACAGGGCGAAUACAAUGCGGAAACGGCAACAAAAACAGGUGCUUAGAGCAUCUACAUCCGGGCGUCUCAAACCCGCCUCAUACACUCGGGCAGGCCGCGGGGUCAUGAUUUUUUGACCCAGACGGGCUCCUUAAACAGGCCUCAAACGUCUGGACUGACCGACACCCUUCAUAUCCAGCCCAAAUAUGGGGUGGAUAUGGGGGUGCCCGGUCGCAUCCGCCACGUAGGACUGACGAAGGGGUCCCACGCGGACUCGCCCGAAAACCCAGCGGUUCGACGGAUGCCUCCUCCGUCGCCGCGGUGUGAAUGCCGCGUGGCGCCGCUCUGGCUCGCCGCCCAAGACCAAAUCCGCUUAUUUAACCCAGCCGGCGUCCCGCAACUCUAGCCCAUCCACCUCCCCCCUCUUCGCGCCGCCAGUACGAGUCCAUCCACCUCCUCCCUCUCCCCCUCCGUCGCUCUGCCCAUGCUCCGGCGCUCCGCCAUCGUCCGGAGGAAGAUCACCUACUACGCAAUGCUCAUGCCGGAGUGUCGGUACGAGAUCCAGCAGGAGAUCCGGGCGAUACAAGCCGCGCGCCGCCCGCAUCGCUGCCGGGUUGCCUCCGGACUCGCCGGAGCUGGAGGAAGAGGAAGAGGAGAGAGAGGAGCUGGCUCCGAUGGAGGUGGAGGAGGCGGAGCAGCCGAAGCCGAAACUGCCGGAGCAAGAGCUGCCUGGCUUCAACAUGGAGCAGGCGGAGGCGGAGUUCGCCGCCGCCGCCCAAUUGGAGGAGAUGGCAGAGCAGCAGGCCAUCUUGGAGUCCAUCCAAGAUGAGACCUAUGUGGAGGCCAACCGGGCGUUCCUCCGGCAGGAGCAGGCGGCGUCCGACGCGCUCUUUGCCGAACUCGACACAGAGAUAGAGGAGGAGGAGGCCGGAGCGGAGCAGCUGGAGGCGCCGAAAGAGCCGGAGCUACAGCUGCCGUCCAUGCUGCCGGAGCUGGGCACGGAGAUCGUUGGCAUCUCCGACGAGGAGUAGCUAGGUGAUCAACGUAGUACGUAGGUUUAUUUCGUUUGCAUGUCUUUGUAUGAAUUUAAGAAUCUAGUAUGAGAUGUCCAGAUGCAACUCGUAUUUGAGGGUCAUAUUGGACAUAUCCAGCUGCAGAUGCUCUUAUGUUCCGCUGUGGGUGGGGUUUACGGAUUUUGCUGUACGUCCGGCCUCGAUCGAGUUCCCGCACAAGCGCCAACAUGGACGUGCUGCUGCUCGGUGCGUAGCGCGUACGCACUCGACCAAGAUCGCGAUGCGUCCACCGCCGAUCGAUGAUGCAGCGCAUGUCCGUCCGUUGGAAGCUCACGGAACCGGGUGGUCACCGCGCUGGUCGGCUGCUGUCCCCGCCCUGCCGCGCCCGUGCAGGAGUUGAAUUGUCGAGAGCUUGUGAGAGAUCGUACGUACUCCUACAUGAUUUCCAUGCGAUGAGGUGAGAAUGAGAUCGAUCCCUGUGUAUGGCCCAAAUAGGACCUGAGCAGAGCAUAGAUCCACAUCCACCCACCCAUGCAUCGUACUCACGCACGGAUCAGAGUAAAUGGCCAUCACAGGACAGAGGCCGCGGGAUUUAAUCCUCCUCCGAUCCAGGGCCCGUGGAUCGGUGGAUGAGCCAAGGACACCACCAUCAUCACCACUAGGGCAGCAUCAACUUCUCUUCUGGACUUCGGACCGUACGAGGCUGCACAUGCUCAUCAGCCUCCUCCGUGCUACCGCUAGGGUACCACAUACUGCUGCUGCUGAUGAUGGUGAAGAGCUCCAUCAGUGGUAAAUUUGACAUUUUUGACCUAUAAUCGAAAGCAAAUCACAGAAUGAACUGGUUCCGAAACUAUUUCACACCCCUAACCCUUUUGUGUAGCGCCCGCCACGCCGGCGCCACACCCUACGGUGCAGCGCCUAGCUCCGGGGCGUUGCACCACUGUCCACCGUGGCAGCCCACGGGCCCGCACCCAGCCGUGCAACGCCUCCGAGCUAGGCGCUGCACCUGUAAUGUGCAGCGCCUAGCCGCUAGGCGUUGCACGUGUAAUGUGCAGCGCCUAGCCGCUAGGCGCUGCACUGUGACUUAUAUGCAAACGCGCCAGCCCUCUCCUCCCCCACCCUCCCCAUUGGCAGUUACAGAAAAAAGGGCGGCGGCCAUCUGCACUCCCCCUCUCAAUCCCCUCUCCCAAAUCCUUCCGAUCCGACGAUUUGGUCCGUGCAUUUGUUCACCAAUUCAUCGUAGAAGGUACUCUCCUCCGAUCCCCUUCUUUCUAUCCAUAGAAAAUAUUAUGUUUUGAAGAUUUGGGGAACCCUUGUUUGAAUCUUGCAUGUAUUAGAUUUGGGCAACUUUUGUUUGAAUCUUGCGUAUAUUAGAUUUGGGGAACCUUUGUUAGAUUAGAAUGUGGUUUGGAUAGAUAGGUUGACAUGUUAUUUAUAUAGUUUGGAUACAUAGAUUGACAUGUUUUUUGUAUGGAGAAGUAGAUUGACAUGUUAUUUGUAUGGAGAAGUAGAUUGACAUGUUAUAGUUUGGAUACAUAGAUUGACAUGUUAUUUGUAUGAAGUAGGCCCAAGUAGGGGGAAGCACCAUAUGCUUUGGAUCUUGCAUGUAGUAGGCCUACUUUAGUUUUUUUGAAUUGAAAAGAUAAUCGUGUUGACAAGAAAGCUUUGUUGAAAUUGUUAGGAUGGUUUGGCUUCUCGAUGAUCACUGGGACCAUCAACACCGGUCGUACGCUAUGGCGGUGCAACAGCGGGUAAUACUGAAAGUGGCCGGUGUUAUGAAUUUCGUAUGUUUGUUCAAACACAAAUGCCCCAUAUGUAAUGUUAUGAUUUGUUUGUUUGUAGGAGCUUGCACCUCUGAAGCUUCGGUCUCACGGGAUCAGCCUUGGAGGGAUGAGCUAUGAUGAGCGGUACACACCUUAUGUUAGGGAGGCAGGACUUCUCCCUUUUAUUGAGUUGGUCCGCCGGUCGACGCCACCCAACAAUGCUGCAGCACUCACCGCGCUUAUUGAUCAUUGGAGGCCGGAGACACACACUUUCCAUCUUCGGACCGGGGAGAUGACCGUGACGCUGCAGGAUAUCGCUAUGAUCACCGGUCUUCCUAUCGAUGGCAAUCUUUUAUGUAUGAACACCGAUUUUGAAGGGUGGCGCGCGCAGAUGCAAGCCCUUAUCGGUAUGGUUCCUUCGGAGCCUCGGGAGCCAGAAAGGGAAGAUAAGAAGAAGGAAAGAGUCGCAGCGGGCGCUACUUUCACGUGGAUAUCAUCGCACUUCGCUCAUUGCCCCGAUGAUGCUAAUGAGGACAUGGUGAAGACUUAUGCUCGUGUCUACAUGUGGUACGUGGUAUCGAGGACAAUGUUUGCUGAUGGCACCGGCAAGAAUGCUCCAUGGAUGUGGCUGAAGGCGUUGACCGUCUUCGAUAGCAAAUGGAGUUGGGUUCGGCGACACUAGCUUACUUGUAUCGACAGGUAUGAAGUUGUUUCCUUUUCACUUCAUUGAUACAUUAUCAAUGCGCUCUUGCGGCAAAUUUGACCAUGUUCUUUUUUAUGUGCAGUUGGACGAUGCCAGUUGUAGGCACACUGGAGGUAUUGGUGGUUGUCUGCUCGCACUUUCCAUAUGGAGCUGGGAGCGUUUGCCGGUUGGACGACCUAAGACCGUGAAGUACGGGGAUUGGGACGAUAAAGACGACCCACUACGGCUCCCCACUUGGGCUUACAAGUGGGAUGUGUUAAAUGAGACGACGGAUGAUCCCUCUAUAAUGUACAAGUUGUACAAGAGCGAGCUGGACGCGAUCACGCCUGAGCAGGUGAACCGACCUUGCAUAAGUGAUUAUCAUGCUUGUAUCUUCACUCGAUAUCAAUUUUGCAUUCAAUCCCAUUUUGCAGGUGGAAUGGGAGCCGUAUGGAAAAGGAGAGAGUUUUGGUAACCCUAUAGAGUUCAGGCUUAAUCCGAUGUGCAUUAGGGAUAGGGAUCUCUGGCAUAUGCGGUGCCCACUGAUAUGCAACUGGGCGGUUGAGCUUCACCUGCCACAUCGGGUGUUCCGCCAGUUUGGUUUGUUCCAGUCACACCCGCCGGAGUGGGAGGACACGGACAAGUUGCUACACGCGUAAGAUAUAAUUAACCUUGAGCACUUAGCAGCUUCUCGACGGUUUCGAUGAUGUUAAUAUCUUGUUUCUAACUUGCAGGUUGGAUAGGAAAAAGCAGCGGAAGAUCAAGGAUUGGGCCAGCCAUCACAGGAAGUAUGUCGUGCAGUUCGCUCUUAGUGUGGAGCAAGCAAGGGCUGGAAAACGAGCCCAGCUUCGUGAGCACUGCCCGGAUGCGUUCAACAACUAUCUCACAUGGUUUCUUGCAAGUACCCGCGUGGAGGUAUGCCAGCCGGCGUAUGCUGAGGAGAUUCUGGAGGAACCCACCGUUUUUGAUGAGGUAGCCCAGCACCAGUACAACGCAUUAGUCAGGAAAGGCAACUCGGUGAUCCGAGUCCGAUGCAUAUGCACGGGAAAAAGGGAUGGAAUGGUCCAUUGUCUCUUGCAAAUGAUAUUUGUCGAGAUCACCCACAUUGUUGUCAUGGAGAUCAACUUCAUUGUCAUCAUCUGCAUACUCAUCGUUGUCCUCUUGCAAAGAUUCAUCUUGGUUGUUUCUACACGGGCUCAAUGUUGGCCUCACUUCUUGGGUCAAAAAAGGUUCUACAAUUUCAUCUUGCUUCAAGGGUGGGGGGCUACGAGCAACCAAAGGGGAGGGGUUCCGGUUCAAGUCCAAUUGCAAACUUGACUCAACCUUCUUCGUUGCAAAUAACUCAAGAGCCUUGUCUAGUGAUUCGGCCACCGUCUCCUUGUAUGCAACCCAACGUUGCUCCGAGUUUACACGCAUUGUCUUCCAACGGAUGUGCAUUCCAAAACCAACAUUAUGCCUUCCCUCCAACUCAAUGAUAUCACUAGGGUCCAUCCAAUUCAAAUCUUUCCUAACUUGUUGCAAGAGCUCCGCAUAGCUAGGACUACUAUCAAACACAAUGUCAAGCUCAUCCGGGUCCGGUUCUUUAUUGCCUUUCAAAAAGGCGUCUUUGUCCCCAUGAUGAACAAACACACAUGUUCUUCCCAUCCCUAUAAGCAAUGAACACAAGGUAACAUUGCUUCCAUAAGUACUAAUCCAUGGAUUAACACCGAAUACAAACCCUAAUAUAUAUAUAAAACAACAACCCUAACCCUAACCAUAACCCUAACCCUAAACCUAACCCUAACCAUAACCCUAGCCCUAAACCUAAACCUAGCACCAACAUAAGAACACCCAUAAGAAUAAUCCUAGCAUACUAACAAAACCUAAUCAUAUAAAUUGGCAAACAAACAUCUCACAUCUCCAUGCAAAUCUCUAGAUCCAAACUAAACUAGGGUUUCCCCAAACUACCAACAAAUGAGCAAUGGGAGAACUUUACUUCGAUCAAAACAAGGGGAUCGGAGAUUAUUACCUUGAGGGAGGGUUUGACUUCGAAAUCCACAGACAAAUUCUUCAAAUUUGCANNNNNNNNNNNNNNNNNNNNNNNNNNNNNNNNNNNNNNNNNNNNNNNNNNNNNNNNNNNNNNNNNNNNNNNNNNNNNNNNNNNNNNNNNNNNNNNNNNNNNNNNNNNNNNNNNNNNNNNNNNNNNNNNNNNNNNNNNNNNNNNNNNNNNNNNNNNNNNNNNNNNNNNNNNNNNNNNNNNNNNNNNNNNNNNNNNNNNNNNAGGGGGCAAAGCUCGGGGAGAGAGUGGGAGAGUGUAUGGUGGGGGGGUGGGGGAGGGGGAGGGGGCCCCAGCCAAGUGGCUGGAUAAGUCACAGUGCAGCGCCUAGCGGCUAGGCGCUGCACAUUACACGUGCAACGCCUAGCGGCUAGGCGCUGCACAUUACAGGUGCAGCGCCUAGCUCGGAGGCGUUGCACGGCUGGGUGCAGGCCCGUGGGCUGCCACGGUGGACAGUGGUGCAACGCCCCGGAGCUAGGCGCUGCACCGUAGGGUGUGGCGCCGGCAUGGCGGGCGCUACACAAAAGGGUUAAGGGUGUGAAAUAGUUUCGGAACCAGUUCAUUCUGUGAUUUGCUUUCGAUUAUAGGUCAAAAUUGUCAAAUUUGCCUCCAUCAGUGCCGCAAGAGGAUCAUAGAAUCGAUCGAUCUCCGUAGCAGGCAAGACAAGAUCUCGGUACCAAUUACUGCGAAUCCUGUCAGUUAAUCUUAGUACGGGGGGAAAGUAGGGACGCCACUGCUCAUCUCAUCAUUCGGCUGUCUGUCCGUCUGAUCAUUGGAUUGGAUCAUGGACACCAUCAUCACCACGUAGGGCCUGGUAUGGUGGUACAAGCAGGGUUCAGACUUCCAGAGUUUCAGGCAUGGGAUGCAACAGGGAUAAGUACAUGUACUCCCUCCGUUUCAAAUUACUCGUCGUGGUUUUAGUUUAAAUUUGAACUAAAACCACGACGAGUAAUUUGGAACGGAGGGAGUAGCAGUGAGGCUGGGGUACAUAUAUAGGUGCUGCAAAUUAUAUAACUUAAUCUCACCAAACUACACAUAUGUCCAUAUUAACCUGAUUAUCACAUCAACUUUUCCCACCUUUGAACAAGAAAAGAACAGCACCAUCCCAAACACACUGCCUACACACACUUCUAGGCCUGCUCUACCAGUCAACCAACCCUAACAAAGCCAGCACAGGUCAAAUGUUGCAGCAGCAAAGAACAACCCAACCCAGCCAUACACACUUCUUUGGCCACAAAAAUCAUCUAGACGGCUAAAGCUAGCACGGCGGCAAUAUGAACGAACUUCGUCAGCCUCUCGUUCUUGUGAUGGUGAUGCUGCCCUUCCCCCCUUCGGUGUGGAUCUUCGUCUUGUGGACCACCGGCUUCCCGGAGAUGGCCGAGGCCUCCUGGUACGGCGCGGACGCUUCGUCGAUCUUGUGCUUGAUCCUGUACGAGGGAGGCGCCAGGAUCUUCUGGUUUAUGUCCCUCAGGGUGGUGGCGCCAUGGAAGCCGCACGGCUUGAUGAGCUCGAAUGGGUAGGCCACCGACGCCACUUUCAGCUUCUUUGCUCUGAUGACGCUUCUUCCAGCUGUGAAUCAAUCAGGGAACGAUGUAUGAGCAGCGGACAACGAACUUGCACAGAUUGUGCAGCAGUAUGCAAUCAGUAAACUGUGUGAAACAUAGUUGGUUAAUGGUGCUUUGAUCAAACUGUGGUAGAGUAGGCAAACCUUUCAGAGGUGUAGGUUUAGCUUGCUGAGGUUUCUUCUCAACUUUCAUGAUAGGCUGCUCCUCGAGCUCGACCAACGAAUUCUGAAGAACUGAAACAAAGAGUUCUAGCAUCAGUAGCUUUACAAUUGCGAUAACAAGUGAUGAUUUGUAUACUGGGACCAUUUUACUAACCAGAGAUAUUUACUUCCACAGCAGCACUAGGACUUUUCCUGUCGAGAAGGAUCAGAAACCAUGAGAAACAUAAAUACUUAAAAGAUGGCAGUUAACAGAAAUACUGUUAAGCCAAGCACAAGGUGGACCUCAGUAAAAAAAAACAUACACUUCUUCCGGGGGCGAACGAUUCUCACUAUCUUGUGAGCAAUCAACCAGCCAUUGUUCAGGUAGUUCCUGUGUCCCAUCACACUGUAACAAAUGCUCGUCACCUGCAAUCAGCUCUAGGAUUAGGAUAAAUGGACAAGAAUCAACUCAGUGUAGUACUUCCCAGAGAUGAUGAAAGACCUACUAGAGAAAUCCAAAUCCACUUGCAGAUUUUCCAAGAGCCCAUCUGUCAGAGAACAGUCCAUCUACAUACAAACCAGUACAUAUUGAUGGAGUUAAAUCACCAUUGUAAUGAAUGUAAACAUCAAAUGGACACAGAUUGUUGACAUAAAAAGGUAUUAGUCCAUAGGUAACUCCAUUGCAAGUACCUCAGCAUUGUCUGGACAGAACUGCAGCAUACGUCUUCGUUUAGCUUGCAAGGUUUCCUUUCCUUCAUCAAAGUCCUUGAUAAUAAUAUCUGCAUUGUACUUGCAUAAGGUCACUAAACUUGAAGUGCAUUCUCAGCAUACAAUAAAAUUGUGAUAUUAGAUAGGAUGCCAAUUUCCUUUCACCUCCUUUUUUUUGGCGAAAGGGGUCAGGAAUUACAUGUAAAAUCCAUUGUUAUGACUUCUGGUUAAAGGUUAAAUCAUACUUAGUUCAGUUGCAUUCUAGACAGUUCUAAGUGGUGGUUCAAAUCAAACUUAUUUGAGGGGUACUGCACAAAACAAGUUUCCACAACUGCUAACUACCAUAUGACUAUAUUAUAUCUACUGCUCUGCUUGCAUACAAAAAUGCAACCAAAGACGUGUUUCCAGAUACUUUAUCAUGAAAAAGGAAGUUAUAAAUCAACUACGCAUGGCACGGAUAUAAACAAUGAACAUUUCAAACAAAACAGCGGCUCAAUUCACAUACAGGUAGUAAAACAUACUAGUGACUUCACACUAGAUGCUUAGACAUCCUUCACUGAUAGUACAGUAUGUUAGUGGCCAGAGGUAACCACGAUAUGUUAGUACAGUAUGGUAGUGGUCAGAGGUAACAAUGGUAUGUAAAUGAAAGAGCAUUUUUUUACCUCCUAUAUCACAGAAGGGUAAAUCUAUGUCUGUACAUUCUUUAAUUGGGGUUUGCUCAUCGAACAGGCUCCAAGAAUCAACCUCGUUGUGGUUUGCUUCAGCCCACAGGGAGGUAGAUGGAACUGCGAAAUCAGAAGAAAAAUUCUCAUCAGUUAACCGGAUGCAGUUUUAGGACAGUAGGAAUGGUGAAAAAGCGUGCUGCAAACCUGGUAACAGAUCCUUCUGCAAAUCAAACUCUUGACUCUGCCAGUCCCACAUCUCACUGCACAAAGUUCCACAUCCAAGAGCAUUGUUAGAGAUGAGCAUUCAGGUUUCAACAAUUGCUGAAAUUUUUACAAAAAAUAACGAGUAAAAUGCAGAGUACACAUCUUCGAACAGGCUUACUACAGAACAACAACUGCAACUUGAACAUUUCAAUGUUUUCCCUCAGGAAAAUGUAAAAUUCCCCAAGUUUAUCUGAAUAAAUGGUGAAAAACUCAACUAGUGUACUGGCAGUCUGGCACAUUUCAAUGUUUUCCUUUUCUUCCGAGAUACCAUAAUGUUCAGGAACCUAAGACCGCUGCCCGCUGUAUCAAGCGCAAACAAUUUGCAGAAAAACAAAAUCUAACAGCGCAAUGGUAACUCGCAGUAAAAAAAAAGGAAACCUUUGAGGAUUAGGAAAGUUCGGGCAUUCACAUCAAGAAACAGCCUGGCAUGGGCGAAACAGAGGCAGGAGAAAUGGAAGGAGGCCAUGAACAGCAGCUAGCUAGGGUUUAACAGCAAAAGACAAGACCAACACCAACACACACACGGCCAUCCCUAACCGCAACCAACCGCAGUACGGCACAAAAGAGGAAAUUAAAAGCCUCCGUCAAAAGAAGGCAUGAUCCUUUAUUUCUCUCCCAGAAUUGGAAGUCUUUUCCCAAACAUCAUACGAGGACGAAAAGAUCAAGAGGAUGAUGAGGACGGAAAAGGGCGGUACUAGCAGCGCGCCAGCGCCGCACCCAACCAAGAAGUAACCGCCGUACCGAGAAAGCGAAAUUAGGGCGGCUCAAUCAGCCGACGAGGACAGGAUUAGAGCCCGAAGAAGAAACAAAUCGCGACUCCGCGGCAACCAACAACAAAAAAAGCACCCCGCUUUUUCUCCGACCGCGCCGUCGCGCCGUACGGUGGUUGGCGAGGAUCAAGAAGCCGGACGGAGGAGGAGGUGGACGGAGACGCACCUCUGAUCGCCAAUGCCGCCGUCGAAGUCCAUCAUCCCCCGCGGCGGGGCGGAUCCGAGGCCGGCCGGCGCCGCCGCUCUACGGGACGGCGAAAGGGGGAGAAAGGCGGAGAAAGAAAGGGACCGGAGGGAGGCGAAGUGGGGAGCGGGUGGAGAGGGACGGAGGAAGGAAGGAACUGGAGACUGGAGAGUGGGCGCAGUGGUGGUGGUGGUGGUGGUGGGAACAGUUUAUCCCUCUCUCUCUCACAGUCACCGCUCCCUCGUGCUUCUCUCGACGCCCAAAGGGAAGGAAGGGCCCCCGUCCGUCCCCGAGAAAACAAAGCUUGCGCCUUUAUUGCUGCUGCCCCUCCUCCUCCUCUCGCCCUCCAACGUGACCGCUCAAGGGGGCGCGGAGGCCGAGGACUGAGAAGACGAUGAUUAUCCUAUGACUAAUUGGGCUAUUCGGGCGACCGCCACGGAUCAGUGGCGAGUACUGAUUAAUUCAGGGCAGUUGCAGGUUAGGCUGCCCGGAGGGAGGCUUGUGGCGGAAGGAAGGGGAGAGAGAAACCGUGCGGCGCACAUUGUACGUACUCCGUGGUCGUACCACGGCGGAACCGGUGGCAUGUGUGCGCCGUGCCUCGGCCGACGACCGUGCCCGGGUGCACCACCGGCAAUUCCUUUCUUUUUUCAAUAAAUUCUUCCAUUACUCAGAGUUUAAAUGUUACAGCUUCGUUCCAAAAGUUCCAUGACCUUUUUUUUUCGUUUCCAGAAGUUCCAUGACCUUGUCCGGUUCAGAGCCUAGCCAAAACCAUAGUCCGGCGAUGCACCCUAUCAAAACUAGGCAAGGCAUAAUGACUCCUUGUUAUGUGAACAUUUCAAGUUUCGUCUUAAUCUUUACUUUCGUGUGGAGCGUACAAAAAGAACAUAAGCUCAAACUUUUUCGCCACAGCCUAAAAAUGGUUUUAGCUCCUCGCACUAAGGAUGGAAAACACAAUUUAAGAAUGGUUCCUCCUCCGUUGGGCGAUGUGGCGCUCACGUCGAUCGCCUCGUGCACGAACCAAAUGACUAUGUGUAUCCCACCAGCGCUCUUCUUUCGCGAACUUUCUUCCCCUUCAGGCCGAAGCUUCCUCGGUGUAUAUCGCUCCACUCGGCCAAAAGAUGUUGUGCUGGCGUCGGUUACCUUCCCGACAAAGCUUCCUCAACGCCUAACGCUCCCCCCGGGCAGACGUUGUUGUGCUGGCGUCGGUUACUUUCCCGACGAAGCUUCCUUGGCGCCUAACGCUCCCCUCGGCCACACGAUGUUGUGCUGGCGUCCGUUACCUUCCCAACGAAGCUUCCUGGACGCCUAACGCUCCCCUCAGCCAGAUGGUGUUGUGUUGGCGUCGGUUACCUUCCUGACGAAGCUUCCUUGGCGCCUAACGCUCCCCUCAGCCAGACGUUGUUGUGCUGGCGUCAGUUACUUUCCUGAGGAAGCUUCCUUGGCGCUUAACGCUCCCCUCGGCCAGACGUUGUUGUGCUGGCGUCAGUUACUUUCCCAACGAAGCUUCCUUGGCGCCUAACGCUCCCACGAUGUUGUGCUGACGCCCGUUACCUUUCCGACGAAGCUUCCUCCGCACAUAACACUCCCCUCAGCCACACGAUGUUGUGCUGGUGUCCCUUACUGUCGGUGCCAAAACCGACAGACCUCGGGGGUAGGGGGUCCCGAGCUUUGGAUCUCGGACAAAUGGUAACAAGAACAGAGAGACAAUGUUUUACCCAGGUUUGGGCCCUCUUCAUGGAGGUAAAACCCUACGUCCUGCUCUUGUUUAUAUUAAUGGAGAUGUAUCAAGUACAACGUUGAUCUACCUCAAGAUCGGUGGUCUUGUUACCAAUUAUCUUACUAUCAAACUAUCUUGUAGCAUUUUGCAGAGAAUACCUUGCUGAAAACGGCCUAUCAAUUCCUUCUGCUCCUCGUUGGGUUCGACACUCUUACUUAUCGAAAGGACUACUGUUGAUCUCCUGUAUUUGUGGGUCAUCAGUGAUCAAGUUUUCCUCAAGCUUCAACCUUAUGCUCAGUCUAGUGUUUCUCAUUGAGCAAAUAAUAAGCUUGAUUUUAAGUACUAUGGGCCUUAUCAAAUCAUUUCAAGUAGGCAGUGUUGCUUAUCGACUUGCUCUUCCAAGUGAUAGUCGCAUUCAUCCGGUCUUUCACGUUUCUCAACUCAAGAAGGUCGUUGCUCCUAUGGUUCAGGUGUAAUCUUCCUUGGCAUCUUCAAUUGCUUAUCUUAAGUUCCCGUUGCAUGUGUUGCAGCGUCAGAUUCGUCAGUAGGGAAUCACACUAUUCCCCAAGUGGAGUGGAGCCAAGGUGAGCCAGAAGCUACUACUCGGGAAGAUCAUGACUCGCUGAAGCAGCGAUUUCUGCGUGCACCGGCUUGAGGAAAAUCCGUUUCUCAAGAUGGGGGNNNNNNNNNNNNNNNNNNNNNNNNNNNNNNNNNNNNNNNNNNNNNNNNNNNNNNNNNNNNNNNNNNNNNNNNNNNNNNNNNNNNNNNNNNNNNNNNNNNNNNNNNNNNNNNNNNNNNNNNNNNNNNNNNNNNNNNNNNNNNNNNNNNNNNNNNNNNNNNNNNNNNNNNNNNNNNNNNNNNNNNNNNNNNNNNNNNNNNNNNNNNNNNNNNNNNNNNNNNNNNNNNNACAAGGCGGGAACAUAAGAAGAGGAGGUGAUUCAAGAUAUGGGUUAGGAGACUUCAAGGCCGCCCCGAGCCAAAUGUUUACCGGCGUGGUUAACCGAUCCGAAUUGGGUCAAACGAGCCUUGUAAUAUAAAUACUGCACACCUUAUCCUAUAGGAGGUAAGAAGGAACGGAUGGACGGCUCUCGCCGAAUUCUUCUAUAGGCUUCUAGUUGUGAGGCUGGUUUGGUGGAACAACUAAAUUCAAAUUCGCCAUGGUUUCCAUUUUCCUAGCUCGAGUGACUUAAGAGGAGAGGGAACCUCACAGGAAGAGAUUUGUUCCUUUGAAUCAAUGGGAAAGAAAAACUCAAUGAUUCACGGGUUCCCGGAAACAGAGGAAUACAGAAAAUAUAGGAUUUGUACUGUCAUGUCUUUUGAUGUGUACAUGAUUUCAGUUUGCUUAAUUUCAUAAUAGAAAAACAACUAGUUCUUUCCAAAUUGUUUGAGUGGACGAUAAAUUUCCUAUGAAAUACAUGACUCGAUCCUAGAAAUCAAGUUUCUAAGGAAUCUAAUCCUUCAAAAAUAAUAUGAAAAACUUUAAAUCAAAGAGGCCAUCAAUGUUACUUGGAACUUGGAAAUGUAAAAAACAUUCGUGAAAUUUCGGCCAUACAUGACCUAUGCUUUGGCCUUGUUACGAAAAGUUUGGUAGUAAGAAUAUUUACUUCUACAUAGUACCUGCAUCCGAAAUGGAGUUCAUAAAGUCAAGGUUCGGAUUCUCUUUCAAUAUUCCUCCAACUAUCACAAUUUGAAAAUUUGGAUCCUUCAGAUCUAUGCUUCUCUUCAUCGACGACGUUGGUCCUGUGAAGACUUAACACAAGGACUCGUGACUGUCUAGUACAAUAUGAUUUGCCCGACUCCAAUAAGGGAGGGGCGAUAAUGGCGGCGUGCCUUCGGUCCGUCUAGUGUUUGUAAUUGUCGUUACAUGGACGUAGUUUUUACUUUUGGCGUUCUUUGUAGAUCAAAAGUUAAAAAUUUAUCACAAUUAGACAGUUCGAGUAUAUGUGCAUUCAGCGUCGUCCUUUACUUCUUUCUUUAUAGCGCGAAACGCUCGUCGUAUUUCUCCUGUGGAAAUCGGGCUUCAUUUUUUAAUACGACGACGUGCAGGAUCUAGCGGCGUGAUUGGAUCAGCGAAAACAACAUGAGCGGCAAUAAAUGCAUUAAUUAUUAAUCAACCAUGAAAGAAAGACGCGAGAUCGACGGAGUCGAAUAAAUGGGAUACUCGAGGCUUCAUGUGACUCGUGGCACUCAUUGAUUGAGAUAGAUCUCCCCCUCGCCAUCCCUCACGCGGACGCCUCGCCCGCCACUGACGCGCGGGACCCCAGUGGUGAGGCCCACCUGUCGGGGACAACCUCGUAACCCUAUCCAGGCCACCGUGUCACGAGGAGAAGCGGUGGCCGGAGUUAAAGCGGCGGCCCGGGCAUCUUCUCUUCCGAGAAAAAACAGAAAAAGAUGGGCUGGGCCGCACCUGCGCUGCACAUGGGGGGCAACGGCGCCAUGGCCAACAACAGAAAAUUCGGAGAAUGUCAGCCCCGUCUGAUUCGUCGGGGGAGAUAACGUUUGUCUAUGCGACGGGAUGGGGUUAGCCGGUUGGGUCUAGGAUAAAAGAUGGUUAGCUGUGUGAUUUACGCUGCUGCGUGUACAGUACAGCGCGGCCCUUGAUCCGUCCUUGUCCUGUGUGUAAACUGGUGGCGGUCAAACAGAUGGGGUAAGUCGGAUUUGGAUCUCGAUCUACUACUGCACUGCACUGCCCACUGGUUUACGGAUCUGGAGGGGUGAAGGAGGGAGGGAGAGAGCGACCUGCGCGUGUUCGUGGCGACGUCAUACGGAUGCUGCCCCUCGAUCGUCAUUGGAUGGGUGCUCUGGGUGAAGUUUCCGCAUCAACGGACACUGGGUGGGUACUGAGAUGAGAUGGGAUCCGCAUCCGUCUGCUUCUUUGAGUUGAGACUAUUAUUAUGUCACUUGGGCUCCGUCGUCCAGGUGUGUAUAAUGCUGAUUCUGUUCGACCAAAUAAAUUGGUUAGGCCUACUUUGGUUCAUAUAGUAGGAAAUCAUAGGAAUAGAAAAGUCAUAAAAAUGAGAUGACAUGUUUCUCAAAUCCUAUGCGUAGGAAUAGGAAAGGAGAUGUUCCUUGAUUCACAUCAUAGGAUUUUUUUCAUUGAGUCUAGGCUAAUGUUUAUUUUUCUAUGAAAUGUGGUGGAUAAGAAGAAUUCCUUCAUAGAAAUAGGAUUCUAUUCCUACAAACCAAAGGACAGUAAAGAAAUUUUUCCUACAUAAAUCCUAUCCUAUAAAAUCCCUAUAAAAUUCCUCCAAACCCAAGAAGGCCUUAGUUUUGAGCAAUCUGUCGAAACUCUCGACCAUCUAAUACUAAUAGUACAUGUUUUCAGCAUUCUGAUUAUAACAAUCUAAUUGUGUUACUCCCUUCGUGUGUCAAAAACGCUUUUAUAUCAUGAGAUGGAGGGCGUAGUUAACGUAAGGCUAUUUGCACGGGAAACAUCAUGCUUCCUCUGUCCAGGACGUUUUAGAUCACUAUAAUACUAGUGUAUGAUACUAUCUUUAUAGGGCAUAGUAUCAUACUUUCUUCGUCCAUGAAUAAGUAUAUGUUUGACAUCCAAAAUUUAUUCACAAAAAGUGUAAUUCUAUCUUUCCAAUGCACUUUAAAGUAGAAAAAAAUGCUUCUCUCAUUACACGGUAAUCAAGACCAAUAACAUUCAACACAUUGUCUCCUCACUUUCUACAUCCACUUAGGCCCCUCCCAGUGCUCCAUCUUGUACAUGUGCUAAGCCUGCCAUAUAGACGAAAAACCUGAUGUGGCAAGUUAAUUAAGAGUAGAGAGAUGAGUGGUGAUACCAGGAUUCCAGGAAGAACAAUGCCAAGCGCGUGAACCUAGGUAAAACAUUUAAAUGAAAGAAGCCCAACACUGCAUGGAGAAUUUUAGUUGCUAAAUCAUUAAAGGAAGGGAGCUUAGCUACAAGAAGCUAAGCACAUAUGCAUUGAGAAGUAUAGUUGCUAACCUAUUUAAUGUGGUUAGCACCUCAUCUAAGCACCGGUGCAUUGGCAGUAGUCUUAGCUCAUUGGAGGUGAGGUAAUUAAAGAAGAGAGAGAUGGUAGCUUCCCUCUCGAGCGAGAUAGACACAUGAGCGCCGCUUCCCCUGGACGAUCCCGCGCCCGACGCGGCCCCGCGGCUUUCCCCGCAUCCUCCCGACCUUCUGAGCCUGUGCCGCUCGACUCAGCCGCCUCUGCUGCCCGAGCUCGGCGCCCACCUCUCGCCUCUGUUGUCCGAGGAGGAAGAAGACAAGUCAAUGUCGUACAUGGUAGUUCUUUUGUUCGCCAACUCAGCCCAUGGGCAGGCCGGGCCAAUUUGUGACAUCAAAGUCAUUAGAAUUUAUCUUUAGUGUUUUUUGUCAGUGUCAAUUUUUUGGUGUGGUGCAAAGUGCACCAAUUUCCAAAUUGGUGUUUUUCUGCUAACCGCGUAGCAAAUGUGGUGGUCCUGUGCUUUUUACUCCAUGGUGGGAGUAUCAUGCAUGUCAACUGGGCAAUUGUUCAUACUCAUAGGGUUGAGUAUUAUAUUAUGAUACCAUAUUAUCAUAAUAAGUUAUAUGCUACUCCCUCCGCCCGGGUUUAUUAGGCCUCUCAGCGUCACAAGCAUGUAGACUAGGGGGAGGAGGUCGGUGUGUGAGCUACUGGGAAGAACCGUACGACGUUGUGCUCGAAAGGAGCCAAGGGCAGUUGUCAAAAGAGCUCUCUCGCAUAGGGUGGCGAGACCUCUUGCCCAGCUCCACGCAUGCCUCCACACCUUGAUCUUGUCGACAUCGAGUUGUCCUGGGCGUCUAUUCACUGCCUUCCCUCAGAAGGCGGGUAAGGAGGGACGGGGCGGAGGAGGAGGGAGCAACACGUGACGGCUACGGUGCCACGCAAGACCUAGUAGAUAUGCCCAUGUGGAGGAGGAAGGAGACCUAGCCAACAUGCCCAUGUGGCAGUGUUAUUUUCUAACUCAGCACAAUGGGUGGGCCCGGGCAGUUAGUGAUAUCAGCGAAGUGCUUAACAUUACCAUCAGUUCUUUCUGCUAGUGUCAAUUUUUUCGCUGCGGUGAAAAGUGCACCAAUUUUUGUUUUGAGAAAUAAGUGCACCAAUUUAUAAAGUGGUGGUUUUGUACUAGCCGCGAAUGUGAUAACAAUUGUUAUGUGCUUUUUACUGCCCACCGCGGGUGCUAAAUAAGAAAAAUCUGAGAUAAAGAUAGAUACAAUGAAUCUCUAGAAAAAUUGCAAACAAAAUUGAACACAACCAGGAGUAUGUCAUGCCGACGAAAUCGCAAACACAAAAAGUGAUUUCUCCCCAAAAAAUACAUAGAAAAUGAAUGACCCUAAAUGUUUCCUUCUGGUGAAUUUCCAAAAUACUCAGUAGCAACAAAACAUGUCCUUCUUGAGAUCAAACUGUCGAAGCAUGUGGAUGUUAUAUUAUGAUGCCGUUUCGAAACGACCGGCCAAACUUGUCGUACCCUAUCAGAGCUGCUAGUGCCUAAAACAUAUUAUUGUGAUUCAUUUUAGCAACUAAGUAAUGCACCUGAGGAAAAUAAUACUAAGCCGUACAGCAGCCAAACCAACAACACUCCCACUGAUAGCUCACGGAGUCACGGUUCUGACUGAACUCAGUCAGCACGCUACAAGAAGACAUGUCGACAAAGACGAAAUAUUCCAAUAGCCCGUUCCCGUCUAACAACAACAGGCUUAUACUAAGAGUAAUAAUAAUAAGAUAAUCCAAUCAAAGCAGCAGGCUCAUGUUAGGAAAUCUCAACAGUAAUCGCUCGAAUACCCAUGCAGCGGCAACACAAAACUAAUCCUCCCCAACACCGUGUGCCCAACGUACACGGGACAGAACGGACUGUCGGCAAAGCAAAGCGAAACCAAACACACAGAAAGCUUCGAGGAACUAAAACAAUCACAAAUCAUUGGGAGUACUAAAAAGACAGUACUGGAUAGGUGGAUAUAUUAAGGGAUGGAUAAACGAGUCAUGACAGGCCAAAGUACCCAAACGGCACUAAACAAAAGCCCCCCUAAUGUCCUUCAGCUAUGGCAUGGGGCCAGAGCCUCACAAGUUCUUUUUAGACUUUCAUUCGUUCAUGUGCUCUCUAAUGAUGGAUCAGAGUCUUGUAGACCGACAACGAGCAGGACUUUCGACGGCUUCUUCUAGGC